UCCUUAUGGUUAUGUCUGAAGAAAAACUAUUCUCAAACUGUUGAAAAACAGAUAAUGCAAUGGAAGCUCUUUUUUAUGAGAGAAGAAAUUUAUGUGUUACUAGUAGAUCAUGAUAAAGAAUUUAUUACUGAUCAGAUGGUUGAUUUGCGAGAAUUUUAUGGAUACAAAAAAUGACAUCCCUAGAACUUACAAUCUUUGUCUCUUUGAUAUAACUAAAUUAUAUGUGAUUUCCUUUUUAUUAGAGAUUUUAUUGAAAUCAUGUUUGUUUUCUUGUGAUUUUAAAAUCAUCUCUUCUUUUCUUUUCUUUUCUUUUUUUGAUAAAGUUAAAAUCGUCUCUUCUUAAAUUUCAUUUACCCUAUAAAUCUUGAAUUUCUCUUUUCCUUGUUAUCAUAACACUAUCUCUAUCUUGAAAAUCUCUAAUAUAAAGAACAAAAUAUAGAAGAGGAAAUCCAAUUAGUUGAUUUCGUAGGUUCUUUGUAAGUAUUUCUGUUUCUUUUUUCUUAUUUUUUUUCUCUCUUCUUUGUUAAUACUUUUUGGAGGUGGCCAGCAUAGCCCUUAAUGCUGAGGAAUAGAAAUUACCCGUUUAAAAAAAAUAAAAUGAAAUCACACAUAAUUUAGUUAUAUCAAAGAAACAAAGAUUAUAAGUUCUAGGAAUGUCAUCUUCAUAUUCAUAAAUUCUUGCAAAUCAACCAUUUGAGCAGUAAUAAAUUAUUUGUCCUGAUCUACCAAUAACAUACAAACUUCUUCUCUCAUACCCCUAAAAGGGAGCUUCCAUUGGAUUAUUUAUUCCAUCAGCAGUUUGAGAAAGGGUGAAUUUGUCAGAGAAACACUUAACUCGGAUUUGUUAAUUGAAACUCUAACAUAGAAUUCAUUUAUCCAAAGCCUAUUUAUACUGUAUCCCUUACUGGCUUAUGAGCAUGUUUAGUUAACCAUAUGGAUAAUCUGGUAUUUGGUGGGAGGUGGCAGAUAUCCUGUAGAAUUGGACGAAGUACGGAAAGCUAGUCUGAACAUCAUGGUCAUAAAAAAAAAAAGCAUGUUGCACACUUGAUUAGCUUUCUCCAUAAAGAUGUAUUUAAUUUUCCAAAGUGGAUCAAUAGUUUGUGUUAAUUUUUGCAUCCUUCCAACUUUAUCGAAAUUUUUCCACAAGGGACAUAGUUUUAUAUUAAUUUUAAUUAUUUAUCGGAUUUUCCCCAUAAGAGACAUAGUUUGUUCACACACCAACGUGGAGUGCAAUACACACAAAUUUGACAUGUCAGCAUUAGGUACUCAUGAGAUUCAUAUAUGUCAAGUAAAAGUGUCUAUCAAAUCACCAGAUAAAGUUUAAGUGUCUAAUUUACAAAUUGUGUCAAGUUUGAAGGACUAUCUAGAUAUUUACACUAGACUAUUUAUAUGGUCAACUUUAAACAUGCUCAUAAGCUAGUAAAAGAUCCUAUAUAAAUAGGCUUUAAGAGAUAAGUGAAUUCUACGUUAGAGCUUCAAUUACAAAUCUACCAAAAGAGCUAAUAGUUUCUCUGACAAAUUAGUUUCUUAUAUCUCCUUAUUGUUAUGUCCGGAAAAAAAUAUUCUCAAAUUGUUGAAAAUAUAGAUAAUCCAAUAGAAGCUCCUUUUUCUAUUAGUCGAGGAUUUGGCUUCCAUUGGAUUAUCUAUUCCUUCGGCAGUUUGAGAAAUUUUUUCUUCAGACAUAACAAUAAAGAGAUAUAAGAAACUAAUUUGUUAUAUAAAAGGCUGAAUUUGUCAGAGAAAUACUUCAACCAUUUUGAUAGAUUUGUUAAUUGAAACUCUAACAUAGGAUUCACUUACCCCUUAAAGUCUAUUUAUACAUACUGAUUUAUAAGUAUGUUUAAAGUAGAUCAUAUAAAUAAUCUGGUCUAAAUACCUAGAUAGUCCCUCAAACUUGGCACAAUUUGUAAAUUAGAUUCUUAAACUUAUCUAAUGACCAGAUAGACGCUUUUACUUGACAUCUCAUGAGCACCUAAUGUUGAUUAUCUUUCUCCAUAAAGAUGUAUAUAAUUUUUCAAAGUGGAUCAAUAGUUUUAUAUUAAUUUUUGCAUCCUUCCAACUUUAUCGGAAUUUUCCACAAGGGACAUGGUUUUCUUUUAAUUUUAAUUAUUUAUCAGAUUUUCCCCAUAAAAGACAUAGUUUUAUGUUAAUUUUAAAUACAACUAGAUCCAUUAAGGUGGCAAUUAUUCUUUUCCUUUGUUGAUUAGUUCUUUUUCUUUCUGUGUUUUGUUUAUUCUGUUUACUUAGUUGAGUUAACGAAUACACUACCCAGUACCCUCAUGCCCCAUAAUCAUUAACAACCACAUCCAGAAGUAUUACAGUUUAGCUUUAAGUUUUUUUUUUGACAAAGAGUUUAGCUUUAAGUUUUAACAGUAGUGAAGUUCUAGUAACUCAAGUACAAACAGUAAAUGGUGACACUCUAUAUCCUGAUAAGAAAAAAGAAAAGGCUUGUGCAUCAGUUGAUUUUUUUGGAUGAAUAUUAGCUAGUUGAUGUGUUCUUUUUCCCAACCUAUUGGCUAAUUAAGCUUGUCUAAUUUGCAAAGGAGAAUUCCUCAGGAUAUUAACAGAAUACGAUAGAGCGCCUGAUGACCUUAAUCUAAAUGUUCACACUCCUUCAGUAUUCUCCUAUAGAUUUUAGCUAGUAGGAUAAUAUAUUUGUUGAAUACUCCACCUUCAGAUGAGACCUUAGGCAACAAGCCACUUCACACAAUAUUUGAAUAUUAGGGGGUGUUUAGAUUGACUUUUUUUAAGUGGCUUAUAAGUUAAAAGCCAAAAGUCAUAAGUUGGGAACCCCCAACUUUUGGCUUUUGGCUUCUUUUUUGUACUUUUUCAGCUUUGAAUAAGUGGUUAAAAACACUUUUUGUGUUACCCAAACACUUCCAAAACUAAAGAAAUGCUUAAAAGCCAGAAACUACUAAAAAUAAGCCAAUUCAAACACCACUUGGUCUGAAAUGAAUUUUUAUCUCUUUUCCAUUGUAAAUAGCUGAUGCCCUAGUCCAAAAUGAAAAAGAAAAAAGGACAGACAGGUCCACUAAGCUCCCCCUAUGCACAGACUGGGGAAGGCCCAGACCAUAUUGGGUCUCAUAUAGGCUGCCUUACCUUGCAUUUCUGCAAGAGGGUGUUUCCACGGUUUGAAUUUGUGACCUCGUGGUCACAUGGCGGCAACUUUUACCAAUCCCCUUCUUAGACUGACAUGAGACCACAAAUUUUUUAACCACAGACUUGGUGAAUCCUAAGUUGAAGUCUACUUUAUCUUUUGUUCCAUUGCAAACAUCAGAUGUCCUCACACGGCAUGACAAAAUGGUAUAGCACAUAUGCUUCAAGCCAAUGACUUCAUCGGAACCUCCAUGUUUUCCAGAGAGUGAAAAUUAGUAUUUCAUCAUUAAGUUAAAACCCAACUUAAGGGUAGUUAAAAGCCAGUUAAUCACAAAAAGCCCAUUAUCAUCUUUAUGGAAGUCAGCCGCUAGAGUCUUCGAAAUUGGAUUUUCCAAAAAAGCACUAAAAAAGAAUACAAGGGGAAAUUACCUCUAAGGCAUCAAUCUUUUCAGACUCAUUCGUCUUAGCUUCAGAUUCGAGAAACUCAAAGCCAUCAGCAAAAUCACUGAUUAAUGCCUGCAUAGCCUUUGUCAGCUGUGUUGAGGAGCUUGUCUGAAAAAGGAAAAGAUACUUCACAUAAGUCACACAAGGAUAGUGAAUUCGGACUCUGCACAGACAACAGAUAAUGCAUAAAAGAACACAUCUUGUUUUUCCCUUCUUUCUUCAGAACUUUCAUUCAAAUGAGGAGAUAUUGCAAGUUAGUUCUAACAAAUACCUUUGUCACAUAAAUAGGAAUGCCGUGAGAUUUUGCAGCUGCUUGAAUCCGAGAAUUUUUCUUAAGCUUGGACUGCAGAGCAAGUAGCACAUCUGCUUCACUGAUAUUAUCAGUAAACUCAAUGGUAUCGUCAAUGUUUAGCUGAUUUAUCCCUUGCAUCACACUUGCCUCUGAGAUCUACAAUACCUGCUCAAAUAUGAGUUCCACGUAGAUGUUUCCAUAUAGAAGCUGAUGGAGCUUUAUCGUGUUUUUUCCUCUCUUCUUUUUUGUUUUCUUCAUAAGAAUCUCUUAUUCUAUGCUUCACUUUCCCUCAUAGAAGUUAAAAAUUUAGAGAACUAAAAGGAAAAGAGAGUGGAUUAACUCAAAUGCUUCAUUAGAUGAUAUAAAGUUUGAAGAGGAGGCUCUGUAAUUGUAAAAUGUGUCUUUGACAAUUACUUUAAUGGGUGAAAUCUUAAUGAGCUAAAGCAUAGAAGAAUCUCUUCUCUUUUUCCGCCUAUGCAAGGAGUGACAAAAUUCAAGCAUAUGUUCUUUUUUUCCAGGAAUAUUUUAAAAUAAAAAAAGUUGCUGGUCUUGAAUCUGAAUAGUCAGCCAAAAGAAAAAAAUCAUUCCUGCUCGAUACUUCUACACUUCAUGUUUGGGGCCACCAAGCACUUCCCGCAGAGGAAGGGGGUAUGUGGGGCCUUAACAUGAAAAGAGAGGAAAACAAGGAGACUAUUAGGAUACUGGAGAAGCAUCAAAUUAGGUUUAUUAGAUCCACAAAUUAAAAGAUACUAGCAGCAAAUUAAGUAACAAUAGCACACGAAUGCAGAACCAUCAUGUACUAGGAGGUAGUUCACUUUUUUUGAAAAUUGAUUCUCUUUCGAAGGCCCUUCAACAAUAUGAAUACAAGCUCAGUAUUAAAGUUGAACUAAGAGAACAGAUUCUGAGACUGGGAUUUUAGUUAUUAACCAAACUUGUACAUGUUCAAUGUAGUGAUGACUUUUUUUUUUCCUAUCGAACAAGUAAAUGGUAAUAUCAUCUUACCCCAUAUAGAAAAAUGCAAAGGGCAUCCUCACUUUCACCAGAACCUCCUUCCAUGCUCGGACCUGUUGCUGAGAUGAGCUCAGUUGAAUCAGGUAUACCUCCAUUAAUCUGGAUUAUAUCUUCAAUCAAAACUUCAUUUAUUUCAUCUAAUGGUGCUUGGAUGGAUGAACUUUCCAUUAUUCCAUUUUGCGAUCCUGGAUUUAUCUUGCGAAUUUCAUAUUUUGGGUAACGUCCUUCUCAACAUGAAAUUAACACCAAGGCAGACAAUUAAACAACAUCCAAUUAGCUUUCCAACAGGAUUAUAUGCAAAUGAUUUGUCAGCAGAAUUGUUUUGUUAGGACUUAGGAGGGAGGACUAGUAAAAGACCUGCAAGAAUUGCAUCUACUGUUGCUUCUAAAUCAGGGUGAACUCUCAAUUCUGCCUUGGAGAUUAUCUCAACCCCACAGCUAAAAGAUGAUGGACCUUUCCUCUCCAGAACAGAUUUCUGAACGCCUCUCCUGCUAGCCUCUUCAUCCCCAAGUGUCACACUCUGACAAAGAAAUAAAUUAUGCAACUAUACUAUGAACCUCAAACAGCUUCCAGUCGUCCAAUAGUGCAUGAGAGUAAAGCAUCACUCCAUGGUAUAAUGGUAUUAUGGCAUCAUUUCGAAGAGUAGGUUUGACCUUGAUAUCAUCUUUUGAGACUCUUCACUUUUCUUUCCUUUUUUUUUUUGAGAAAAUCUUUUGAGACUCUUCACUUAUAGAUAUCAAUGUCAAGACACCUCCAUGAGUAAAUAUUCAGGUAACCAAGUUAAAGACUUUCACCCUCUGUCCCACCAUGCACAGCUCAUGUUGCAAUUACAUAGGAAAUAUAGAGAGUGCAGUGGUUCAAUUCAAUUAAAUUGUUUUUGUUUUUUCACCCUUCAUGCAUUGCUUGUGUUGCAAUUGCAUAUAUUAUGUAGAGAAUGCAUUGGUUCACUUUAUUGCAGUGCUAUUGGUUUUGCAUUCUACUUGUGAGAUAUGAAAGGAAAGAAGAAGAAGUCACAUCUGGUACAACUAGGAACAGUGGGAUCCCCCUAGACAUUUAACUAGCUUCUUUCUAAAUAGAAAUCCUAUUACCUACAAAUGUGAAGUAACAAGAGAAGUUUUAUUGGAAAAUCACAAAGUUACCGUCCUUACCCGUUUGUAACAUAACAGCAUUGUUCAACAUUAACUAAGCAUCAGCCCAAUUGUUUUAAAUAUAACAACUAACUGGAAAAAGUUCUGUUAAACGGGAACUACCUGUACUCCUCCAACCAGCAUCUCUAAAGCAGGAUUCAUUACUAAAUUCUCUAUUGUUACUCCAUGAGCAGUUGCAACUAACUGAAUUCCUCGUUGUGCAAUGGUGCUUGCAGCCAUUGCCUCAAGCUUAGUACCAAUCUCGUCAAUUACAAUCACUUGUGGCAUAUGAUUUUCCACUGCUUCUAUCAGCACCUACAAAAAUAUAAAGUAAAAAACAAUCCUCAUUGAUCGAUGUACAAUUGACUCAUGUUUGGAGCCACUCAUGUAAGGGAAGGACAGGUCCAUCCAAGAACCAGCAAUAGGUAUAUCCUCAGGAAAGCUAUUAAUCAAGUACAUGUGGUCCCAGUUUUGCUUUAAAUUUGGGUAAGAUAAAAGGUCUCUUCCAAUAAGAAAUUGCAGUGGUUGCAUCAAUACACCUUUUCAAAAAAGUAAUUUUAUUUUCAUCUGGCUAACAGAGUGAAAGUCAAGCUCCUACCUCGUGUUGCAUAUCAUUAUGUGGAACUUGCAUCCGCCGAGCAUUACCUAUUCCUGCAUGAGGUAUAUCACCAUCCCCACCAAUUUCAUUAGAGGUGUCCACAAUCAUUACGCGCUUCCCAUAAUCAUUUGCAAGCAUCCUGGCUAUGUCCCUAGGAGUAAAAGAAAAAAAUCCUUACAUACCCAUCUGCUGAAUCUCAUGGAAAUAGAUUUAUUGGAAUGAUAGGAGAUACAUGCACAUUGCGGAGGAACUAUCAUUGUCAUGUUAUAACUGCAGGAUUUUAUGUGUAUCCAUGUGCAAGGAGAAAUGAAAGGAGAAAGUGUUCACGAUGGCAUGGGAUACAAUAAUAAGCACAUACAGACAACUGAACCCUUGAUACAUCAAACAUUAGACAGACUUCCAUCACAUUAGAGCUAACCAAUAAUGUGGGACAAUGAGAAGGAAAUGCAAGAAACAAACAUCUAAAGGGAACAGUCAAAAUACAUAACUAAGCAUAACCUGAAUAAGAAAUGUUAACAAAUACACUCCUGUCCUUUGCAAUAAAUGCAAUAGAUGCAUAAGACACAGAGAAUAAUUGUACGAGCCCUGUAUGCAACCCACAUACCAAGUGCCAAAUCCACGAUAUUUUCCCACUUCAUAUAUGCAUCAUUCCAUUAAAUUACAGUAACAAGCAACAUCGUCUAGACUAGCCUGGGACUAAAAGUUUAAGCUAAAUAAGCCCACAAAGACUUCAGAAAAAAGGAAGAGUUGAAGAAGAAAGUAGAAUUACAUUAUGAAAAAACUAGAAAACUUUAAUAUUAUUGAUUAUGUCCAGGAUCUUUAAUUUUACCAACAAUAAAAAAAGUCUGCUGUUAGAUACGCCAAGAAACCUGUUUUAUUCCAUGAACCAUGGCUUCAUGAGAGCUUCAUAUUCAAGUAAUAUUAAACUUGUCCAAAAUUGAGCUUAAGCCUUAAAGAUAAAGCAAGAGGUCUCGGCUUAUAUCUCAAUUAAAGAGACAUCAGGAAGCCAUAUCUAGAUACCAAACUAGCAGCGCCCAUGAGAAAAUUUCAAAGGGUUGGCAAGGACCUAAGAUAAAAUCCAGAAUCAAACUACUCACUGGUUUCAAGCUAUGCUAAGCCACUGCCUGUUUCCAAUCUUGAAGGAGCUAGGCAGCAUCUGUGUGUGGUAUAACUUACCAAAAUGUAAAACCAAGUUUGCCUUGGAAUUGCAGCUUGCAGCUUCAAUAGUAUGAACUUGAUUCAAACUUCCAUUGGCCUCAAUAUCAUGAACCUGAUGGCUUAGAGAAUUGCCCAAAAAUUGGACCUGAAUUCCUUUGCCUGAGACCUCCAAUUUGCUUAUUAUUAACCCUAAUUUGCAAAUUUGAAUUGUUAGGAAGCUUACCAAUUGGGGUUUUUUGUUGUGUUGCGUUAAGUUCAUUCUAGUGCUCAUUUUGGCAUUUCUCGUUGCCUGAAAAUUUCGCCAGAGCUCUAUCGCCAUCGCCGGAGUUCUCCCCGAAUAUGAUUCCCCCGUCCAUUUUGAGUGGGCUUUCAGUAUAAGGUACGUUAGGACAUGGGGAGUAUUCCCCAUUGAUUGAUUCCCCUCGAAUCUCUUCAGAGGGUGGUUGAAAUUGCAGGCACAUCUGGGGCCAUCCAUCCGCAAGCGAUUCUCGCAGAAAUCGCCUGUUGAGAUCUUUCCAAUGGGAAAUAUAGAAUGAGCUGAAUCUUUGAUCAUAGAUAGAUCAACUACCUGAGAAUCAUACCCCAUAGUCGCUUUUACAUGAAUCAAACAAGAUUUCUCCAGGGAUAUAGAUAUACUUUUUUGAGCCCAGUCAAGCUCUUCCUACGAAAUUGCUUCAGUGAUCGCAAAUUCCUUUUGCAAAUUCGAAGAGUUGUGGGAUGAAUUAGAGGUUCAUUCUUGUUGGGUUUUGUUGGCACUAGAAUUGUGCUUUGAUUGGCACUGGACCACCACGAAAUUUGCAUUCAAAGUAAGUUUCCAUGUCAGUGUUGUGAAAGGAAAUCGUCUCGGCGCCAAUGGCGAGAGGCGAGGCGAGGUGAGGCGACCCUUCAUUGCCUUUUAGCUUUGUGGCAAGGCGAUCUUCAAAAGGCAACGCCAUGGAGACAACGACGACAGAGGCAAGAGGCGAGAAAGGCGCCGCCUUUUGUAUUUUCUUAAAAAAAGGCGACCAAUUAAGGAUUUUAAAAGUUAAAAGAUAAAUUUAGGGUUUACUUUCCAAAUUUAUAAAGUUGCACUCUUAGACUGCGACUCCAACCAGUCGACUUCACUUGACUUCUCGGCGAUCAGCCAGACUUUCCUGGCGACUCCAAACUCCAACCAAUACGUAUUUCUUCUUUUCUUCUUCCUUUGUUUCUUUUUCCUUCUUCUUCUUUAGACUUCAGACUUACUUCUACCUUUGGUUUUUUUUCAUUGUUUUGACUUUUGUACUAUUUUUUUUCAUUCUAGUUCUAGACUUUUAGUAUGUACUACCUAUUUUCAGUUUUUGAAUUGAAAUAUUUGUUAAUAUGUUAUUGCUAUUGAGAUUUUGAUUAUUUAUAUAUGCAAUUAAAUAUUUUAAUUUUUUGGUCUUAAUUGGUGCCGCACUUCAAAAAGGCAAGCGCCUCGCCGCUCGACUCAUCUUUUGGCGAGACAGACCCUUGUCGCCUUUCGCCGUCCAAAACAUUGUUCCAUGAUUGCAUCGCAUCUUCACACCAAUAUCGGAUCAUUCUCAUCAUUCCAAAUACGAUUCAAGAUUGAACUUGACUUUACAAAAUUAUUUUCCCUCAAAAUCUAAUCACAAAAGAUAUCUUGAUUUCUCAAAUUUUAAAGAAAUUAAACCUUGAACUGGAAAUUAAUAAGAAGUUAGAAAGUUCUUACCUUUUUAGGCUGAUUUCGUUCAAGAGAGAAGAUAAUUUUUGUUAAACCUUCAACCAACGCUCUUUUGAAAAAAAUGGGGAAGAUGAUGUAUUAAAGAGGAAAUAAUUAAAUAAUAGAAAAAGAACUGACAUGUGGAGGUUUUUAAUUCAUUUUUGGAAGCAAAGUUUCUCAUUCACGCGCGUCAUCUGCGUGAAAACAAACAUAGGGAAAAAACGGGUCAAAAUGUCUAUUAACAAAGGUAUUUAUUACUUUUGUGGGGUUAUAGGAGGACCACAUACUUAAGGUGUCUUCUUGAAAAUUCGGGACAACUUCAGGUGUCACUUUAUGUAUUUUCUCAAAGAAAAAUACUAUCUUUUUAAUGUGACAACCAGAAAUGUAAUGGCACCGAUUAACUUUAAAAUGAGAAGGAGAAUCAAGGUCAAACAGCAGAAAUGUUCCUCAAGUUCAUGACGUUGCACAUCAAAGAUCAGAGGGCGUGAAAUGAGAGUAUAUGUGACAACCAACCUGAUAAUAGUUGUUUUUCCUACUCCAGGAGGACCAAUGAGCAACAAAGAAGCACCAUCUUUAACUAGAUCUCGCAAUGAGUUUGCACUUCCAGAUAUUGCACGACCAACUCGACAAGUUAAACCAAUAAUUGCACCUUUCCGGUUUCUAAUAGCACUAAUUCGGUGUAAAGUUCUGCUAAUGCCAGCUCUAUUGUCAACUGCAAAGUCACCAACCUGUAAUAUGAAUAACCAUUAAAUACAGACUAACCAAAUCGUUACUAGUACUAACUUUUCGCUUUGGACCCAGGUAAGUUGUUAUCAACGACUAUGUUAGUGUAUUUCCAGGGUCAUAGUUACUAUUCAGUCUGAAACUAAAUCACUAGUGUCUUUGAGCAUAUCAUUGAAACACCAACCUCAAAAAAGAAACUUGUUAAUCAAUCGGGCACAACCUCAAAAUUUCCACUCAAUCAACGUUAAGUGUGUGUGUGUAAAAGAGUUGGCCGAGGCCGACCCUGAUCAAAAUCAAAGCCUUCCUAAUUCAAUUGAAGCUAUCACUGCAACUUCAGUUCAAAUUAUUCCCAGAGGUAGAAGCAAUCUAGGAUUUGAAAUUCAUGGAAGGAAAGUAUCAAGUAUCAGCACACCCACAAUUCGUCUGGAUACAAAUUUACCACAAGUAUAUGUUAUUUUUCAAAUAGUUCUACUUUCUCUUCCGCAAUUUAUGUGAUGCAUUUUUUCUUUAAGUCCGUCCAAAAAGAAUUACCUUUCUAUAAUUAGAAACAACCUAACAAUAAACUUCACAUUUUACACUUAAUGAAAUAUAUAUAUAUAUAUAANNNNNNNNNNNNNNNNNNNNNNNNNNNNNNNNNNNNNNNNNNNNNNNNNNNNNNNNNNNNNNNNNNNNNNNNNNNNNNNNNNNNNNNNNNNNNNNNNNNNNNNNNNNNNNNNNNNNNNNNNNNNNNNNNNNNNNNNNNNNNNNNNNNNNNNNNNNNNNNNNNNNNNNNNNNNNNNNNNNNNNNNNNNNNNNNNNNNNNNNNNNNNNNNNNNNNNNNNNNNNNNNNNNNNNNNNNNNNNNNNNNNNNNNNNNNNNNNNNNNNNNNNNNNNNNNNNNNNNNNNNNNNNNNNNNNNNNNNNNNNNNNNNNNNNNNNNNNNNNNNNNNNNNNNNNNNNNNNNNNNNNNNNNNNNNNNNNNNNNNNNNNNNNNNNNNNNNNNNNNNNNNNNNNNNNNNNNNNNNNNNNNNNNNNNNNNNNNNNNNNNNNNNNNNNNNNNNNNNNNNNNNNNNNNNNNNNNNNNNNNNNNNNNNNNNNNNNNNNNNNNNNNNNNNNNNNNNNNNNNNNNNNNNNNNNNNNNNNNNNNNNNNNNNNNNNNNNNNNNNNNNNNNNNNNNNNNNNNNNNNNNNNNNNNNNNNNNNNNAUAUAUAUAUAUAUAUAAUAUAUAUAUAUAUAUAUAUUUAUAGUCAUACAAAUAUUUAUGGUUUGUUAUAUACCACAAUUCAAAAGUCUUGUCUUUCUUUCUUCCUUAAACUUCCAGUUAAAAGUGCAUCACAUAAAUUGAGACAGCGUGAGUAUUACAUAGUAAGUGUUGGAGCCAGAUUUUUCACUAAGAAUAUUCAACAUCUAUUAUAACCUUGUAUAUAGUAAGUGGUGGACCCAGAAUUUUCACUAAGCGCAUUGAAUAUUUACUAUAACCUUGUAUAUAGUAAGUGGUAGAGUCAGAAUUUUCACUAAAUGGAUUGAACAUUUACUAUAACCUUGUAUAUAAUACUCCCUCCGUUUCACAAAGAAUGACCUCCUUUCCUUUUUAGUCAGUUUCAAAAAGAAUGACCUCUUUCCUUUUUUGAUAACAAUUUACUUUUUGCUUUCCACGUGGCAUGUUUAAGACCUCAAGAUUAAGGACAAUUUUGUACAUUUGACUUAACUUUAAUUUAGGACCACAAGAUUCAAAAGUCUUUUUUAUUUACUUAAACUCCGUGCCAAGUCAAACCAGGUCAUUCUUUGUGAAACGGAGGGAGUAAGUGGUAGAGCCAGAAAUUUCACUAAACGGAUUCAACAUAUACUAUAACCACGUAUAUAGUAAUUGGGGGACCCAGAAUCUUCACUAAAGGAAUUCAACAUUUACUAUAACCUUGUAUAUAGUUAGUGGUAGAGUCAGAACUUUCACGAAGAUCAUUCAACAUAUAAUACAUAAAUAUACUCUUUAACUUGGUUUUAAACGUGUAUAGAAUUGAACAAGUAGACAAAUAUGUCCUACGUGGCAUAAUACACAUAGGAUGCCACAUAGGAUACAAAAUUGCCACGUAGGACAUCAUUUAGAACGAAUGUGUCUAUUUAUUCAAUUUAUACAAGUUUAAGUGUCUAGUUGUGCACACCCAAAGUUAAAAGUCAUACUUGUUCGAUGAAGCCAAGUUAACGGUAUGUUUAUGUAUUAUGCCUAUUCUAUAACCAUGUAUAUAGUAAGUGGUAGAGUCAAAAUUUUCACUAAGUUCCUUCAACAUUUUCUAUAACCAUGUAUAUAGAAUAAGUGGUAGAGUUAGAAUUCUUACUAAAAAAAAUUCAACAUUUACUAUAAUUUUAUAUAUAUAGUGUAAUUUUUCAAUGAAGGGUUUCGAAUCCCCUUCUGAUACCCGAGGCUACCUCUGCUCAUGUAUAUAUCUCAAGCUGAAAUGGGUGCUAUAUUUAAUUAAUUCUAACCUGCGAGGUAGCUUGUUGAAGAUCAUCCAAAGUAAUCGGUUGAUCGGACAAGAUGAAAUCUCCAGAAGGGAAGCGAGCAAGUGGCUUACGACCCAAGUCCAUAACCACCUCAAUUAAAUUGGAAAACUCCGGGUGUUCGCUAACUCCUCGCCGCAUUUCCUCCGGCAACAAAGACAAUAACCGACCCAAUUCCACCUGAAAGUCAUCAGCAAUCAAAGAAGAAGACGAUACCGAAGAUGAUAAGCGGAAGGAGGAGGGUUUACUCAGCAAUUUAGUGGGUAUUACAGUAAAGGGCGAAAAGUGGAGUGAUUGAAUUGGGGGAAUUUGAUUUUGGUGGGGUAAAUGGAACUGUGGGUUUGGUGAAGAAGAAGGAUGAACAUGGAGUAAAGCAAAAGAGAGCAUUGCUUUCUUGGCGCUAAAAUUUGCAUUUGGGUGCUCUCUUUGACUGCAAAUGAGCGGUUUAGCUUUGCUUAUCCUCUUUUCAUUUAUUCUUUUUUAUCGGAAAAAGAUCAUAUUUAUCCAUGUUUUAUCAUAUUAAGGUUAUAUUUACUUUUUGUCAUUUUUUUUUAUUCUUGUACUAAAGGUGGAGCUAGAGAUUUAGGGGUUCAUCUACCUACCCUUUCGAACAUUGUAUUACUAUAAAUAGUUAAAAUUAGUUUUAAUGUAUAUGGAUAGCGGCAUCAUGCUUUCUCAUGCUCAUAGGUUAACUAAUCUAUGCAUUCUGGCUAAGGUCUCAAAAACGUGCAUUUCCUUAAUACACAAAUCGCUCGACUAAUGUGAAUAAAUUGUACAGAAUGGUAGAUUGGUUAUAUACUUUUAUGCCCCUUUCUUCUUCGCAUAUUUUGAUGGGUUUAGAGGGGUCAUCCAAAUGAUGGUAUUGUGGAAGUCCUAAACAAGAGUCACUAGCUUAUAUGUUUCUAUAAUCUGAUUAAGUUAACAGGAUCUGGUCCUAUUUUUGCUCUUUUGCUGGUCUAAACAUGGAGGGACUUCAAUUAAGGGAAGUUAUAAUGCUAUUGUAGGGAAUAGAUGUUGGGAAGAAUAUGAGACUUUUCUUUAGAGCUUUACCCAACUUUGUAAUAUGAGAAUUAUGGAGAAAGAGAAACAGGAAACAUAAAGGGGAGAAGAUAUCAAUAGCACGAAUAAUUCACAAUAUCACUAGAAAUAUGUAUAUGUUGGUAAGACUAAAGAAAUCUCGCAUGUCAUGUCCUGUUAAUUGGAUUGAUAUGUUGAUUGAAUUGACAAAUUACAAACCUAAAAUAAGGGCAAAGAGAGUCCUAUGAGAAUUCCCACUAAAUGGGUGGGUGUAAUACAAUACGGAUGAAGCUUCUCAGGGAAAUUCGGGUCUCAGUUCCUAUGCCUUUUGUUUGAGGAAUGAUAAGGGUGAUAUUGAAUAUGCGGAAGGAGCAAGCAUACAUAACACUACCAAUACAGUCGCAGAAGUUAAAGCUAUAUUAGAGGCAUGCAAGCAUUGCAAACAAUCACGACACAGACAAAUUCUUAUCCCGACCAACUCAAUGUUAAGGUACAAAGUGCUAGAAGGAAAGUGGGCAUGUCCAUGAGUAAUUGCAGAUAUAUCGACAGAAAUUAGAGCAUGUUUACAAGAGAAGCAAUUCAAUUUCCAACACAUUCUAAUAAAAGGAAAUAAAUUAGCAGAUCAUUUGGCAAACAUGGUUAUUGACAUAGAGAAUUGCACAUUCACAAGUUUUAAUAGCAUGGAGACUGGGGAAGAGAAUCAUCAACAACGAUAAACUGAUAUGUCUGUACUUGAGAAUAUCACCGUUAAGGUGAUAGGGGGCAAGGAAAGGCUACAUCAUAAAGUUUUCCACAAGCAACAUAAUUACAAAAACAUGUAAGGCAACAAAAAAGGCGAAAUGUUAUUAAGUAAUGUUAUUUCAGCCAACAAAAAGGACUAGGCAAAAUGGAGGAUCUGGAGUCAGGAUUGAAACUUUUAAACCUGGAGGAAGCCAACAACACUCUUAAAGCGUGGCGGAGCAGAGCUACAUUUGCACUCUAUCACGUGGCCACCUGUAGGUAGGGGUGUUCAUGGUUUGGAUAAAAACUGAUCCAAAUCGAAAAACCAAAUCAAACCGAUUUAAUUUGGGUUUUGGUUUGGUUUGGUUUGGUUUUAGAUUGUUAAGAACCGAUAGUAUUUGGUUUGGUUAUGGUUUUGUUCGAAAAAAAUCGAAGAAAUAAUCAAACCGAACCAACAAGUUAUAUACAUAAAUUUUAUUAUUAUACAUACAUAAUACAUUAUAUUCAUAAACAAUUUUAAAGAUUUUAUAUAUGUUUCAUCAAAAUUUAUUUAUAAUUUACUUAUGAAAGAAAAAAUGUCCAAGGUGAGAACAUUUUUCUUAUUGGUUUCAUGUNNNNNNNNNNNNNNNNNNNNNNNNNNNNNNNNNNNNNNNNNNNNNNNNNNNNNNNNNNNNNNNNNNNNNNNNNNNNNNNNNNNNNNNNNNNNNNNNNNNNNNNNNNNNNNNNNNNNNNNNNNNNNNNNNNNNNNNNNNNNNNNNNNNNNNNNNNNNNNNNNNNNNNNNNNNNNNNNNNNNNNNNNNNNNNNNNNNNNNNNNNNNNNNNNNNNNNNNNNNNNNNNNNNNNNNNNNNNNNNNNNNNNNNNNNNNNNNNNNNNNNNNNNNNNNNNNNNNNNNNNNNNNNNNNNNNNNNNNNNNNNNNNNNNNNNNNNNNNNNNNNNNNNNNNNNNNNNNNNNNNNNNNNNNNNNNNNNNNNNNNNNNNNNNNNNNNNNNNNNNNNNNNNNNNNNNNNNNNNNNNNNNNNNNNNNNNNNNNNNNNNNNNNNNNNNNNNNNNNNNNNNNNNNNNNNNNNNNNNNNNNNNNNNNNNNNNNNNNNNNNNNNNNNNNNNNNNNNNNNNNNNNNNNNNNNNNNNNNNNNNNNNNNNNNNNNNNNNNNNNNNNNNNNNNNNNNNNNNNNNNNNNNNNNNNNNNNNNNNNNNNNNNNNNNNNNNNNNNNNNNNNNNNNNNNNNNNNNNNNNNNNNNNNNNNNNNNNNNNNNNNNNNNNNNNNNNNNNNNNNNNNNNNNNNNNNNNNNNNNNNNNNNNNNNNNNNNNNNNNNNNNNNNNNNNNNNNNNNNNNNNNNNNNNNNNNNAGUUCUGUAAUGCCAGUCAUUCUAACUAUUUUUUUGUUUGAAUGGAUUGUUGUCACUUUUUUCACGUUUUGAAUGAAUUGUUUCUUUUAUUUUUAUGUAUGGUUAAUAACCGAAAAACCGCAACCGAACCAAAACCGAAAACAACCAAACCGAUAAAUGUAUAUUAUAUUUGGUUUUGAUAAUUUUAAAACGAUUAAGUUGGUUUGGUUUUGGUUUUGACCAAUAACCGACCCAAAACCAAACCGUGAACACCCCUACCUGCAGGAAGAUAGUGAGCAGAGAUACCAGAGGAAAAGGAAAAAAUGGAAAAUAAGCGAGAGGACUUACCAAAUGAAGAGGUUGUCCUCUUUUAUACAAGAUUCAACAGCAAAAAAACAACGAACACAACCCAUGAAACCAGAGAGCACAACUAGAAAAGAACAAUGAAGUCAUAAAGAAGAAAGGAAUCAGAUAACAAGAUACUUACUCUUGUUAGUUGUUCUCACGUUGAUAAUUCAUAUAAGAGUAGGCGGAAAGCUGGAUUGGUCCAAGGAGGCAGCAUCCUCAAAAGAAAAAAUGGAAAUCAAGGAAAGAGGAAGAGAAAGAGAAAGCGGCGAAGGUACAAAGAGGAGUGAAGGGGGACUAAUUAGAAACCCUACCUUGGAAUAGAUAUAUAUCCUUAUCCUGAUUGGGUUGGGCCUGAGUUUUACUCAUUUCUGUUGGUUAUUUUUCUUAUUUUAGUAAUGAGCUUGUUAGGAUUGGGCUUUGCCCGUGGAGGUGUAAGGAGAUGUAACUUUUUUUUCCUUUUCCUUGUUUUGCAAAGGCAUGAAUAAAAGAUCAAAUUUUGCAAGAAAAAAAAAUCUUCGCACAUUUUGGUAUGUAUUGCCUCCUAGGUAUUAAUUAGAUCAACCAGACAAGAAACUCAAUUUCGCACUAUUGAUGAGUUGUUGAAGUUAUCCACCAAGAAUUUUCUGAAUUUUUUGUGGAUUGUGUUGGGGGAAAUCUACCUGGUAGAUGUACGAAACAAACUAUAUCUUAAAUCUUUUCUCUUUUUUUUUUUUGGAACAAACUACAUCUUAUAUAAUUUAUUAUAUAAAUAUAAAGUUCAAAUUCUAUGAAAAAGGUACUCAUUUAAGUUCGUAACAACUUUUUAACUUCUAAAGAGGUCAAUCUUUUUCAAAUAUACAACUCGAAUUCUGAUAAUAUAGUUAGGCUCUUGUAUCGAUCCGAAUAAAUCAUACUUUCCACGAAGGUAAAUCUUUGUCAGGAAAAUUUAAGGCCAAACACAUACACAACCGCUCAAACUUGCCCUCAUUUUUCAUUUUGGCACUCCAACUUAGCCUUGUUCCAUUUUAACCCUUAAACUCCAUUUUUAUGUACCAUUUAAACACUUAUAUUAAUUUUUAUGAUUUGUUUUUAUUUAUGUUUUUCAAUUGCAAUUUCUUAUUUUUUAAAAAUAGACGUGUGCUUGUUAAUUUUCGUAAAAAAAUUAAACAUUCGCGAACAAACAUUAAAAAUUUCAAACAAUAAUAUUAUUUUUUGAGAUUUCUUUGUAUUUUUGCAUGAAAAUAAAUUGACAAAAGUUUUUUGAUUCUCUUUCUUAAACAUUCAAUUAAAUUAAAUAACACUACUUAUUUAUUUUUUCUUAUCAUCUAGGCUAUCUAAAUUUAACGCAAAUACUCACUUUUAAUUUUAAUAUAAUCAAUACGAAUAAAAAAACCCAUCUUCAAAAAAGACUCGAUUGACUUUGUUAAUAACACUACUAAAAAAAGAUUCUUGUUCAUUGCUAAUAACACUACUAAACAAUGUUAAAACUCGAUUGACUUUGUUAGGUUGUCGGUGAUUUUAAAGAAAGAAAACGAACACAAUUUCAUCGGUUAUUUUUCACACAAAAAUACAUAACACUCUUAAAAAGAAAUUAUUAUUUUUUAAAAAGAAUUAUUUUUUGUUGAUUUUUAAUUUUUUAACUAAAAUUAAUUAACACAUGUCGAUUUAAAAUAAGAAGUUGCAAUUGAAGAAUAUAUAUAAAAAUAACGAAAUCAUAAAAAUAGUAUUUCGUGUUAUGAUGGUAUAUAAAAAAUAAAGUUUAAGGGUUAAAAUGGAACAAAGCUAAGAUAAAGUGUCAAAAUGAAAACUACGAACAAGUUAGAGAGGCUGUAUAUGUGUUUGGCCAAAAUUCAAUGGACAAACCAUGAAAUACAUAGGGCAAAGACAAUAAAUUUUCUACAAAAAUAAAUUGAGAUACUUUUGGGCCCAAUAACAUCAGUCUAUGCAAGAAAGAAACAUUUUCAUUCAAUUCUUUGCUAUCUUGAACGUACUAAUUACUAAUUAAUGAAAAUACGCAAUAUAAAUUCGUGAAAAAAAACAUUCAAUUACUUACUUCAUUUCAAAUUAUCGAUCAUAUUUUUUUUACAUAUUCCUUAAAAACAGUAAUUUUGAGGAAUUUUAAUUGUUUUACCCUUAUUUAUAUAUAUAUUUCAGACAUAAUAUCUCUUCAUUACUCUAUCUAUGUGUCAUCGCCUCAUAAGUCAUAAUUGAAAUGUCUAUAUUCUUCAAAAACAAUUAUGGAGUAUUAAUUAAAGUUAAAAAAUAAAUAAAAAAUAAAUAAAAAUAAUAUAUAUAUAUAUUGAACUUCUAAAAUGACAAAUAAUUUGAGAUAAUUAUUUUUAAGAAUCACGAUAGAUAAUUUGAAACUAAUGAAGUAUUAAUAGUGUAUCCUGAUUAAUUAGCAAUUUAAAACUUAAUUAAUUAAGAAUCAUAAUAUCUCGACAAGUUCAUUAAUCAUUGCAUGUAUGUUGAAAGCAACUCAACGCUUGGAUUUUUGUCUUUGACACCUCCAUGUUGUUGUACCUCAAAGUCUUGUCCUUUUCAAUUUCAUUAAUUUUAUUUUUAAACAAGACAAGUUAUUUAUAGAAUAAAAGAAGACAGUCUGAAGUAUUACUUAUAGAAUGAAGUAGACGUUUGGAUGAUAUUUGAUUGAAUUAAUAUAUAUAUAAAAAAAUGAAGUUGAACAAUUAAAAAAAAUGGCAUUAGUACUACUACAAUUAAAAAAAAAAAAAAAAAACAUUAGUGGCAAUAGAUAUUGUAGUAUUGGAGCGAAAAUAUUUAGCGGUAAUUGAGUUAAAGUUAUUGUAUUUAAAGUUGCUUAAGUCUUUAGCGGUAUUUUUUACAUGGAAUACUAUUGAUUAUAAAUAUUCAUAUUUAUUAUUAUCCCUAAAUAAUAAUAUUAUUGCUAAAUAAUUGCCACAAAAAUUUUUAUUUGUUGUAGUGUUAGUCCUCGAGUAGUUGUGACAAAUUAUAAUGUUUUAAAUUCCAUAAUUUCCUAUAUAAAAUGACCAAGGAUAUAUAUUUUAAUUAAUUGAACGUUAAAUGUACUCAAUCAACCUGACCAAAAUCAAAAUUCAUCAAUAACAGAAGAAAACAAAUGUAAAUUAUCUACUAAUAAAAUUAUAUUUCUGUAACGGUACAAAUCUUUUGGGGAUCCUUGUCACUGCAAAUUAAAUUAAUUUACCUCAAGUUUUGUGGGUUGACUCGUCUCUAUCAUAAUUAUAGAGCCAUUUUUGGAUUUUAAAAACGAAACAAAAAAAAGGAUUUAUAUAAUCAUAAGAAAGAAUUAAUAGCCGCAAAAAGAAAAAAUAAAUUUGAUCAUGUACAAUUAAAUUAUUAAUCACAGCCGGCUUAUUAAUAGUUAAAUUAGCUAUAUCAUUUAGAAGCUAAAUAAUGCAACAUCUUUUGUUUUUAAAUUUUUUAAAAAAGGACAGAUACUAUAAUAAUUAUAAAAUAAAUAAACGAAGAUCAAAAAGGACGAUUCUGUUGAAUUAUUUGAUUAGUAUGGCGUGUGGGUGAUAAUUUUAAGAAUUUGUAUUUUGACUUUCCACCCAAUAUUUAAUAUUUAUAUUGAAAAUCGAUUAAAUUUAAAUUCAUGCAUAUAAAAUUCAUUAUAGGGGACUGACGCUUUUAACUUUUUUUUUUUUUUUUGUUAGAAGUUCAAAUUUGAAACCUUUAAUUAAUAAAGAUCAAAGGUGGUGUAAUACAACUCAUGAUGGUAUAAUUUUAGGAGCCUAAUCAAUUCAUUUCAUAGUCCUUAUUUAUUUUGUUGUCCUCUUGCUCUUUAUUCUAGAAUAGUAUUAUUGAGAAAGUUUUUUUGCAGACAACAAAAAAAAUAAAAAUAAAAAUAAGAGAAGUAGUAUUUUUCAGUGUGAAUUUUUUAACUUACUAGUGAAUUGUAAUUUCUAAUAGGUUGGAUAUGGUAGAUAUGAAGAGAAGUAGAGGUGGACCGAAGAAGUAUUGAUAAGAGAUAAUUAGAAAAGACAUGACAUAUUUACCGUUCACCGAGAAUAUGAGCCUAAAAAGGAGAAUAUCGAGGUCAAGAAUAGAUCAUUAAUUUUAGAUAUCCUUAAGAGUAGAUUAAGGAAAACUAUAGUAAUGAAACUUAAUUGCAACUUAAAAGGAGAUGGAGACAUCCUAUUAAAGGAAAUGUUAGAAUUUAAAUCUUGACAAGAGAUAAUGAGAUCAAUAAGAGAUAGAAAAACUAUUUUGACAAAUUAUUCAACUCAAACAAGGAGAAUAACAUUUUUUUAGACUUCCGCGUGUCAAUAGAAACUUUAGAUGCACUUGUAGAAUUGGAUCGACAUAGAUAAAUGAUAUUAUGAAAAAUAUAUAAAGCUUGUGGUCCUGAUAUUAUAUAUCCUUAUAAAUAUUUGGAAGUUUCUUGGAGAUAUAGGAAUAUAAUGAAAUGAUAAACCAAGUUAUAUAUUAAAUGAUAUAGUAGUAUUAAGAAGUGGUAGAAUGUUUGAUGAGUGAAGAAAGAGUAUCCUGAGUUUGAUUUAUAAGAACAAAUGAGUUAUUCAAAGUUAUGUGAACUAUCAUGAUAUUAAAUCUGUGAGUCAUAUGAUUAAAAUCUAGGAAAAGUGAUGGAAUUAGGGGUGUACAUGGCCGGGUUGGUUCGGGUUUUUUUAAAUAUCAAACCAAACCAUUUGUGUCGGAUUUUUAAAUCUAUAAAUCAAACCAAACCAAUAAAACUCGGGUUUUUCAACUUCGGGUUUUUUCUGGAAAAGUAUUCAUACAAACAUAUAAUUUACUUGUGUUAAAAUAUUUCUUUAGUCCUACCAAAAUACAACUAUCUAAGGUGUUUCUUAAGAAAAUAAUACAAAAUAUUAUAUGAGUAAUGAUACUAAAAUAUCCAACAAAAAAUAAUAAUAAUAAUAAUGAAAUCGCGUAAAACAAAUAUUGCAAAUUAACAAGUCAUAAUGAAAAUGAUCAUAAUUUAAAAGUACUAAAUCAUGCUAAAAUAAAUUUAAUAAGUAUUAGUUACAUGACUAAAUAUUAAAGGAAAUAAAAUUAGAUUAUGUAUUUUAAUAAACCAAUGUAAAACCAUAGAACAAAUAUUCAAUAUUAUUGUCAUUCUUGGUGUUGAAUUGAUUAUUUUUGUCCUUUAGUAUUAAUUUAAUUUUGAUUUAAGCUUUAUUAUAAUUACCAAUAUCUGUGGACUAUAAUCUUUAUUGAACCAUUUUAGAAUUUCUAAGUUUCAAACUUGAAAUAAUAAUAUAUUAAAAGAUAAAAACUAUAGAAAAAGUAUAAAGAAAUUAAUUUUAAAAAAUUAUAUACAAAAGUAAAUUAUUUUUAUGUAUAAAUAAAAAAUUUAAAUUAUAUAUAUAACAUCGGGUUGGUUUGGUCUCGUGUUGUUUUUUUUUAGUUUAAACCAAACCAACCCAAAUAUAGUCGGGUUUUUUUUUCAAUUACCAAACCAAGUCAAACCAAUCACUAGUCGGGUUUUUUUUCUCGGUUUGACUCGAUUUGCAGUUUGAUUCAAUUUUCGAUUUGAUUUUGUACACCCCUAGAUGGAAUGUAGACAUAAAAACAAGACAAAAGUGAAAGAGAACCAGUAAGAGUAUGACAUGUAAAUGUUAAGAUAGAUGUGUGCACAUAAAAUAGAGAUACAAUGCGCAAAUAUUGCUCUAAUGGUUUGGACAUGCUCUACCGACCUUUAGAUGCACUAAUUUGUAGAUGUGAAACUAUGAAAAGUGAAAAUGUUACAAGAGAAUUUGAUAGACUUAAAAGAUCAAAUAAAAGAAAGUUAUCUAGAAAGACCAAUAAAUAUCUGGAAUUAAUGUAAGAUAAUGAUCCAUAUAAGUAAUAAUAUCUACUAGUUGAGGAUAGAUUUCAAAGUUGCUAGAAAACUUUUAAUAUGAUUAAAGUUAUCUUCGUAUGAUCUAUAGGUUAUGAGUUUGAGUCAAAUUUGUGAAAGCAAACACUAAUGCUUAUAUUAGACACUACCGUAGAUAUUAUCGUUGCAAAAAUCCAUAAUCCCAUUUAUGUAACGUGGGCAAGAUGUCACGUCCCUCUCUUUGGUGAUAGCUACUAAUUUUGCAAAGGAGGGAACAUUACAAUAUGUCAAUCACACUUCAAUGCUUUAUUUGUUCAUAAAAAUUUAAUUAUAUUAUGGCUCUCUCAAUGUCCUUCCAAUUGCAUUUAUCUUUGCUAGGUCCCAUCACUUCUCAAUUUUCUUGUUCAAUUUAAGUUACAUAUUCUUGUCUUAAUUUUAUGUGAGGUAGCUUUAUUUGAUAUGUAAUUUAAGAAAAAUAGAUUUUUUUGAAAUUUGUGGUCUUGUGAUGCACUCAUUUUCGUUACAAGAAUGAAAUGAUGCUCUAUUUUGACUCGAGUUCAAGACUCCUUACAACUCGCACUAAUAGCAACACUGAGCAACCGGAGAUUGAUUGAAAAGGAAGGUUCAGCCAACCCUCUCCCCUAACCACCUAACUACUCGUGUUUGUAGCUCGAUGAAGGUCAAGACCGUAGUCCGACGGAAAAACAGUAGUCGUAUGUAUCAAGUGAUACGUGAAUCUCCUCCGAGAUUCAAUUUUUUUUAAUUUUCUUAAUUUUAUGUCAAGUCAAAAUAGAACAAAUAAAGUUAAAUAAUGAAAGUAAUAUUUUUUAUGUUAUAAAGGGUCAUUAUCAACAAAGAAAGAAGUUUAAAUCAUGUUAUUUUCAGCUCUUAAUCAAACAGUUACUAACUUGUAUCUAACAAGUUGAACAGAAAAAAAAUCUUUAGACAACAAACAUCAAGUGGGACACAAUAGUAGGAGACAGGAGAAAAAAAAUGAUGAAAUUAAUAAAGAGAAAAAUAAAAAUUGAAUUAGGUCAAUUCUGGCUGGAAGGGAAAAGUAAAACAACCAUGAAACGAUGCAGUGCGAUAAAUGAGAUUUCUUUAUCAUUAAUCAAAGUUCAAUUUAUAGGAAAAAGAGAAGUUUGUGGUAAAGUUUCUUUCAUAUUUUCAUCUUACUUUAUAUAUCGUGAAUUUAGAUUAAUCAACCGUUGAACUUUUAAUGUUAGAUUGUUAUUAAAAGGAGAAAAAGGUAAAAGAGUUUUUGGAUUGAUGAUUUUGUGCUUUGUGGGCUAUACACAAGAGGCAGCAGGUGCAGCAUAAAGAGAAAAAGAGGUGGCAGUAAUAUUGAUGAGGUCACAAAGGCUUUUAAUCUAGCAGUGGGGCAUCAAGAGCUCUUACCUUUAAUAAGUAUGUGUGAGAAUUUUUUUGGGUUCAAUAUUUGCGUUGAAGUUUCGUUGAUUUGAAUUUAUAUCAUGUAAAGUUUCAUUUGGAUAAAAACGUUUCUUGUCAAAAAAAAUUCUAUAUCUGAGGUUCAAGUUUGAAAUCUCUAAUUAGGUACGAGUAGCAUUAUCCACUACAUCACAUUUUUUGAUGUUGACUAUGUAUGAGAUUUGAGAAUGAGUAAAGUAACAUAAUGUACAAUAAUUUUUUGUUCGAAGCGUAUAAUAAGAACACUUUAUCAUGUAUUAAAGUGUAUAAUAAGAACUGAUACAUAUUGUUAUUCAAAAAUUUAAAUAAAAUUUAGUGAUGAAAUUAAGGGCUAUUGAUAUAUUGUAUCUAUUUUAACUUUUUAUUUGGUCAUAUUUGUUGUGUCAUUAUAUUUCUAAAAACAUAGUACAUUUACUUCUCGUGAGAAACUUCUUUUAAAAAAUAUUACUUGAACUCUCAUCUUCAAAAUUUAACACGCAUUAUCCAAAGUUAAAUGACCAUCUACGUUUCUAACUUCUUAAUUAGAGAUUCCAAAUCUGAAUACUAUAAAAAUGUUUUUCCUUUUCUUAGGAGGACGUAAAUUCAAAUUAAUCGGAUCAAUAAAUUUUCAAAUAUCAAUACACAAAACAAACAUCAAGGUCUCUUAUAUAUAUCAACAACAAAGAAGGCACCCAUCCUUAUUCACUCUUGUCUUGUCCUUGUCUCUGUCUCUGUCUCUGUCUCUUAAGCCUUCUUCAUUAUUUUCAAAGUUAACUUUUGUUUAUUAGUACUAUUACUAGCAAAAAAAUUGUAUUUCUCAUUAUAGUUAUGCUGUUUUAACUUAAGUACAAAUUACAGAAAUUCAUAGAAAGUCGACAUCAAAAAUUCUGUUAAAAAGAAAAACAGAAUGGGUUAGGCUAUCUAUUCUUGUUUUUUCUUGAUUUUUUUUUGUUUUAGCAACACAAAGCUGGAAUAUAAUAAGGUUUUGAGUCUGGAUCCUCAUAAGAAGAAGAAUCAUUAUCAAAAUGUAGAAGAAGAUGAAGAAGAAAAAGAAAAAAAUCAAGAACAAGUUUUUCAAUUUCAACAACCUUUUUCUCAUCAUGAUCAUUUUAUGUAUCAAGAUUUAGAUAAGAUCAAACAACAAGCUCAAUCCAAGAAACGUUCUUAUGUUCCUCCUCUUCCUCGUCCGAAGCAAAAAGUGGGAACAUCGUCAAGAUUUGGUGGUGGAGAGAUUGUUGAAGUACAAGGUGGUCAUAUCAUAAGGUCAAUUGGUCGAAAAGACAGACACAGCAAGGUGUGUACAGCUAAAGGUCCAAGGGACAGGCGUGUGCGUCUUGCUGCUCAUACAGCUAUUCAAUUUUAUGAUGUACAAGAUCGACUUGGCUAUGACAGGCCAAGUAAAGCUGUGGAUUGGCUUAUUAAAAAGGCUAAAGCUUCUAUAGAUGAGCUAGCUGAAUUGCCCCCUUGGAAACCAACCACUGGUGUUACAACCUUUGAUCAAGAAAAAGAUGUUGAAGACGAUGACAAUAAUGGUCAUUUUGUUGGGACAACUAGUAAAAGUUCAAUGAUAAUGUUAGGCCAGAAUAAUAGUGCUAGCUCAAGUGGUGAAAAUGCAAAUGGAAGUAAUUUUUUGCCUCAUUCUUUAGAUUCUGAUGCCAUUUCUGAUACUAUUAAGUCUUUUUUCCCAAUGGGUGGUGGUUCAACUGAAGGUAAUUCUUCAGGUAUGCAGUUCCAGAGUUUCCAAGAACAUAACUUGUUGUCAACAACAAGUAGCCAAAGCCAAGAUUUGAAGCUCUCUUUACAGUCUUUUCAAGAUCCUGUUUUGCUUCAUAACCACCAAAUAGAACAAUCACAAGCUCAGUUUCAAGCAUCAAAUUUCUUUACUGGAAGCACCCCACUUAUCGGAUUUGAUGCUUCAGUCUGGCCUCAGCCUCAGACUCAACACCAGCAGCAGCCAGUGGAACUCGGUCGAUUGGCUGCUGCUCGUGGUGCCGGUGGAUACACUGGCAUGGCUUUUGGUGGCGGGGCAAUUGCUGGAGCAAAUAGUUACUUGUUUAACUCUCAGCCUGCCCCGCCACUACUACAACAAUUGUUCAGCCAAAAUCAGUUUUUGUCUCAGAGGGGACCCCUUCAGUCCAGUUACUCACCUUCGAUUCGUGCAUGGAUAGAUCCAUCAGCGAUUGCUAUUGCCACAGCUGAUCCAAUUCAUCACCACCAACACCAUGUGUUGCCUAUGUAUUCAACAUCAGUUUCUGGUAUUGGAUUCGCCUCAGAAGUAGGCGGAUUCUCUGGCUUUCGCAUUCCUACACGAAUCCAAGGUGAAAUAGAGGAGCAUGAUGGUACUUCCGACAAACCAUCCUCUGAUUCUCGCCAUUGAAUUAGCUCGACAACACACUCUCCCUUUAUCACCUGACAGGUAAAUCACUUCACCAUUUCAAAUUCCAUUGUAUUCUACCAGCAUUCUUGAAACGUUGUUUACUGUUACAUUGAGCUUCAUUUUCAGGAAAAAGUACUAUACAUCAAGAUGGAAAUGAGAAAGGACAAGUCAGAGAAAGGGCGAUAAUUCAUUUAUCAAGUCUGAUUCAGUGGCAAUGCAUUGCGGAAGAAGAAUCCUGAGCAUAGUUUCAGGUUUUUUUUAAAGAUUAAAUCGCGGUGUAGUAUUCAUGUAUAAGUGUGAUUUUUCUACCUCAACUGCUAAUUUAGGAUUGCUUAUGUAAUUCUGUUGCCAAGUUGUUGUUGUUGUUGUUUGCUUAUUAUCUUCAGUUCAUUAGAACAAGUAAUUUUCUCUUGAAUGUUUCUAUUAAAUCUUGAAUGCCAAUUCUUGUCAACCUUACUGCUUUGGUAUGCAUUGAAGUUGAUUGUGCCCUAUUAAGUUUCAAAAUAUGAGAUGCUUAUGGAACGGCUAUGUUGCUCAGACCCUUCGUGUCAGAUCCUUUAAAAGUUUGCUACUUUUAGAGGAUUAGACACUCAUUCAUCGAUAUUUUUGAAGAGUCUAAGCAACAUAUCAUGACAAAGCGUUCUUUCUUUUGAUUGAUUGAUUGAUUGUUGUUUUACAACAUUCUUACUGAAAUAGUUCAUGUUUCAAUGACUUCUUUAAGUCCUCUAAAAGGAACUGUAAGUUACCUUAAUCUUUUAACAUCCCUAUCACUGCAUUGCAUGGAGUUUUGUGAGAGUAUUAAAAGUGUAAAGUCAUUUUCUGUGAACAGUUAAAGUAAUUAAGGUGUGGUUUUACAAGACUUGUCUUAUAGCUAGCUUCUUCUCUAAAUUUCUUAUUGAAGUAACUUAUUCUCUUAACCAUAAACUGAAAUGCUUUCCCACCUCAUACUUGCAAAGUCUACAUAUUUGUUAUGCCCUCUAAUUUGGCAUCAUCUGACAUUUACAUCCUCAAAUUUUGAAGCGUAAGUUGAAUAAGUAGACACAUACCUCCUAUGUGAUGUUCUAGUAAAAUGUUUGUGCUUAAUUAUUAAACUUUAUACGAGUUGGAGAGUAUAAAUAUCAGUUAAGAGUAAAGGCAAAAUAUGUGGAAUGAGAAUUCUCUAGUUGUCAAUUGGAAAACCUUAUGAUGUGAUGGAAAAUAGAGGGUCUUAUUUUACAUCAAUUUGUAACAGCAACAUGUCCUCCAAUUCUUCAAUAGUGGGGUCAGCCACUGCACGUGGAUAGAAGGUUGUAGUAGAUCAGCCAAGUGUGUGGCCUAGUGUCAGUUAAUAUCUAGUAGAGACAAAAACAAAAUAUGGGCAAUUAAUUCCUUCUUAUUUACUUUUAAAAAAUUGGUAGAUAGAGAUAUUUAUUGUAGUGUUGAGAGAUAACAAGUAUCACGUAAAAUAAUCGAGGUUAUUAAUUAAAAGAUAAAAGGCAUCACGUAAAUUAAUCAAGGUUAGUAUAAAUUGAUAUGAAUAAAAUACAAUUAGCAGAGUUACACACUUUAUGUAUUUUUGAGGAGUACUGAGAGGUAUCAUGUAAAUUAAUUGAGGUCAGUGUACGUUGAUUCAGAAUAAAGUUAUAUAUAUAAUUUGUGUUAUUAGGAGAUAUACUAGCAUAUAUGAGAUAAAUUAGUCGAGGUCAUCAAAUAUCAGUAAAUAGAAUUAUUUGAUAUAUGUGUUAUUGAGAUAUGUUGGUAUGAAGUAAAUUAAUCAAGAUCAAUUCAAAUUGACUCAAACAUCAAUAAACAAAGUUAUUCAAUAUUUGCGUUGUUAAGAGGUUGCAUGUAUGAGAUAAAUUAGUCGAGGUCAUUGAACCCCAGUAAAUAUUGAGUUAUUUGAUAUAUGUGAUAUUGAGACAUAUCAAUAUUAAUAAAUAGAGUUAUUCGGUAUUUGUGUUAAUUGGUGGUAGAAUUAAGUGGGGCUAGCUAGAAUUGAAAGAGAAUGAGAGAGUGAAGGAAUGCAAUCAAUUUCUUUUAAAAAAGAUGAAACAUAAGUUUUUAUAGUGAAGAAACUAGAGAGGCAGAUACCACCAAAAGCAUGGUACUCUGCAAUGAAUUUUUUUGUUGCCCUUUAUUAUACUGCACAGCUCAUUAGUGUCAUAAAAAAAUCUGUCUAGCUGUAUGUCAUUCCUCUUCUUUUUUUUUAAUUAUUUGUUAUUGUUUGUCUCUUUACAGGAAAAAUUAAAUUCACUUAGAACUCAUGACUUCUAUCAAGAUAGUGACCAUUGCUUAAUGGUUGUUGUCUCUUAUUUAUGAUGAUUGAUAAGUUACAUCAUCCGUUCCAUAUUAGUUGAUCAUUUUUCAUUUUAUAUGAUGUUUAAGAAAUCAUAACUAAAAAAAAUAAUUAAAAUUUUACAAAAAAAUUAAUUACAGAGAUAAUAUAAGAAAAUUCUAAUUAAUGCUUUGUUAAUUUAGUAGGGUAGACAACUAAUAUGGAACAAUUUAUUUUUAGUAUAAUGAUCGACUAGUAUGGACGGAGGCAAUAUUAGUCAUAAGGCAAGAAUGAUGCUUUUAUAUAUAUAUAUAUAUAUAUAUAUAUAUAUUCUUGAGAAUUGAAAUUUGUAUUGUUUUAGUUUUAAAGCUUGAGCAUGAUUAACUUAGAUUUCUAAUAUGAGAAAAUUUCAUGUAUACCAAUAGUUCCACACCUAAUUACUUAACAUAUCGAUAGUUUGUAUAUUUAUGAAACGUGUAACUAUAUUGUAUUUGUGCGCAAGUGAAAUACAUUAUAUGUACGUGCAUAAUAAUAGUAAAAUGUGCAUUGUAUUAAUAUGUAUAUAAUAUUUUUAUAGUAGAAUACAUUGUAUAUGUGUGCGUAACAAUAAAGAAAUACAUUAUCUGCAUAUAUAUUAUCUCUGUCUAACUGUAUUUGUGUAUAUCUGCUAUAAAAGUCUCAAACUAUCGUUAUAUUAUGUAAAAAAUUUAAACUACCUAUUGGCUAUUCGGAUAAAUUUAGAGCCUGUUUGGAUUGACUUAAAAGUUGGUCAAACCUACUUUUAAGUCAGUUUUUGACUUCUGAAAGUGUUCGUCAAAUAUAAAAAAUAAUUUAAAAUAAGUCAAAAAUGACUUAAAAUAAGUUGGGAAGUAUUUGGCAAGGUAAAAAUGACUUAAAAUAAGUCAAAAACCAAAAGUAAGUCUUCCCUUACUGUUUAUUUUUUUGAUUUAAAAGUCAUUUGACUUUUUAUUUUUGACUUAAAAGCUACUUUUUUUAAAUCAAUUCAAACGGGCUAUAAGUCCCUAUAAACAUACAUGUCGUGUGAUAGUGUUGUCCAUGACUAGACACUCAAACCCUCAUAUUCAAUUAACUCAAUGGGCAUGAGGUCUUUAUUGCCUCCUUAUAAAUAAAUGAUCGUCGUGCUCGUCUUGAAUUUGAUCGUACCUUUUUGGGUUGGUCAAGUCCAUGUAAAGUUGACCCCAGUGAAAAAUGCUACUUGAUUGAUCUUGCCAGUAAUCAUAUGCUUCAAGUAGCUAGUGAAAUAGUUUUUCAACAUGAAAGCAACACAAAUAUUAUACUCUUAUAGUCUUUGGGAGGACAAUUUUUCUCUUCAUAUAGCAAUAAAAUAUAAUUAUAAGUACUAAGAUUAUUAUAGUGCAAGUGCUUGGGAUGUCAUACAUUUGUUGGUAUCAAAAUGGACAAUUGAGAAAUUGUAAUGCUUGUAUAAUGGAGUCAUCACCAAUAUGAAUUGUCACAUAAAAACAGCAUAAACCAAAAAUUACAUAAAACAAAGUUUCCAUCACCACACUAAAAUAUACAAAGCCAAAUUAAUAAUAAACAUGUCAAUCAACCAAAAGAGUAUAGAUAUUCAAGUAGUAAUAAGUAAGUUGAGUUUGCCAAUCAAAUAUUAGUCUCUUGAGAAACUUGAUUUUCAUUAGUAGUGAUGGACAACUUUCUUCCUUUUGUAGAUUCUUUUCCAUUGGAAAUGGAUAGAUUUUUAAUUGAUACAACUAGUUUCAUAGGUCCCAAGUUUGUAGCUUUACUAGUUAUCUUGGCAACUUGUUGAGAGUGAGAGAUUUUUGGAACAAUAGGGUUUGUUUGAACUCUAGUCUCCCAUGGUCGAACCGCGAUCCAACGUUCCAUCCAACUCCAACCCCAACUCUCCUUGCCAAGAUCAUAAUAUGCUUGUCCAAAAUAUUGAUUCGAAUUGGCUCUCCACUGAAACAUGUAUAAUGUUGGAAUCAAAAUGAUCAGAUAUCAUGCAGAAACGACUCAAAUAUUAGAUAAUGAUGAUAGAUCAUGAGAGAAAUAUACUAAAGGAGAAAGACAAAUUUAACGUGUUUCAGUCAAUUAAUCUACAACCAGAAGAUGAUCAGUUAUCCACUAUAUAUCUUUUAAAUAAUAUGAAAGACAAUAUAAAAUUCAGAGAAUACCCUCAUAAAAUUCAUUCUCAAAGAGUUCACAAAGCAUAAAUAUUUUUCUACAAAUCAUUAUACAUUUUGAUUGAGUGAUAAAUAAACAUUUGUCACUUAUUCAAACAUGUAUAGAAGUUGAUAUUUGUUAUAUUAUGAUAACCUUCAGAUAAAACAGAACAAUAACAUUUUAAAUAAACUGAAUUAAAUGAAAAAUACAAAAAAAAAAGUUAUAAUCUAAUUUAAAAUAUUGUUUUUUAUUUAAUAAUCUCCGCGCAACGCGCGGGCGCGAAUAUUAGUUCUCUAUAUUUGAAAGUCUACAUAGUGGACCUUACUAAGUGAAAAAGAAAAAGUCUUGCCAAGAAAGGAAAAAGACGAAUACAAUAGAUUUUUAUAUUUCUUGACUUAGAAAGAUAAAAAUCAAUUUUGAUAAACAUAUUAUUUUUCUUUAAUAAAAAUAUAUAUUAAAUAUGAUAAGAAAAUCAUGAUAGACAAAUUAAAAAGGGGUCAUAGCUAACUUGCCUGAUGAGAAAAUGCAUAUGCCAUUGCCCUCUCCCUCUUAAUUGCAGCUUCUUCUCUUUGUUGUAAUUUCUGUAGUAUUUCUUCUAUGGUUUCAGCACUACUACUCCAUUCCACCUAUUUAUUAAAUUAAAAUUGAGUGACCAUCUAAGUGACGUUGGCGUAGUCAUAAGCAGUUCAGGAUGAUUAGUUAAACACUCCUCAUUAGGAAAUUUAUUAUAUACACAUGUCAAAGUAAAAUUUACAUAUAUUAUACAUUGAAAAUUCUUUAACGGAAUUUUUGACUUUGUCACUAACUAUCUCCAAAGCAACUACUUAACUUCUUAAUGAGACAUCAUAUGAGUCAAUGCUCUACGGUUGAUCUGAAUUGAAUUUUUAGUCUGUUUGGCCAAAUUUUUAAAACCUGCUUAUGCAAAUACUUUUGGUGAGAAACAAUUUGUGUUUGAGUAAUAAAUUUAAAAAGUUUUUAUGAGCAACAAUUAGUGUUUGGUUAAGUUUUAAAAAAAUAUUUUAAAGUGUAUUUCUCUCGAAAGUGUUUUUCAAUAAUAUACAAAAAAUUAUAGAAGUUCACUAAUCAACAGUAAUAUUUAAAAUAACUUCUAAAAUAUACAUAAUUUUAAAAUCAUGACUAAACUUCAGGAAAAAUCAUGUGUAUAUAUGUAUAUCUAUCUUGAGAAAUUAAUAGAAAUUAGAAUAUAAUUAACAGUGUAUCCAUGAGGAGCAUAGGAGUGCAAGUGUAUUGCUGGUACAAGCCAAAGAAACUACCUGCAUGAUGACUUGGGUCCGAAUUCAGCUAGAGCCUUAUUUCAUUAUUAUUAUUUUAAAUUUAUCUUAAAACUCAUAUUUAAACUAAAUUUUGAAUUCGUCUCUGAUAUCGUAUAUUAAACGCAAACUUAACUUGCAAUCCACAUGAUGACACCCUAAGAAUGUGAUAACUUAUUGGUUGUUGUAAUAAAUGGGACAGGCAAGGGGGGUAUGGUUGUGUUGUGAACAAGACAAUAUGCAGGAGUGGGAAGUGAAAGGGAGGUUAUUAUAACAAGACAAGAUUUUGAUCAAUUGAUGGGAUGUGUGGGAGAUGACAGAAAAUUCAGUAGCAUAAUUGAGAAACAUUGGGUCAGGUCUAUUCAUAAGUGAUGAUACUCAAUUUAUUAGUUUCAUUAGUUUGUCUUUCUCUUAAAUCCUAUCGAUAUAUUACAAAUACAUCGUUAUAAAUAGUGAAAAAUAUAAUUUUUCCAUCGUAAUAUGAUGACUAGGGUUUGUAUAACUUAAAUAAUAUUUAGAUUAUGGACACAUGAAAUUUAUCUGAAAAAAUUUGACAAUUGAUUAUUUAAGUUAUGAUUGUUGCAGAUUCUCUCUAAUCCCUAGAAAAAAUUACUCUAAAAAGAGGAUAAACUUUGAAUAGAAUGAAUUGAAGUUGGGUUGUUAUUUGAUGUAUUAUUUAACGGUUGAAAUUUUUUCAUCUUUAAUUAAAUAUUUGAACAAUGAAAACAAAAAAAAAAUCUGAUAAUAACCCCUUGAUGGGAUGUAAACUAAAAUUAAUCAAACCAAUGAAUUUCAAAUAUUGCUUAAUUAAAUAUAUGUGCCUGUUGAAAAAAAAAAUAGCUUAACAAAUAUCUCCCUAAUUAACAAUGAUAAUAUGAAAAAGGAAAAAGAAGUAGGCCAAAAAGAAACAAGAGAAACCAGGUAAGCUUAAUAGAAACAGCCACAUAAUUCAAAAAAAAAAGAAAGUGAUUGAUAUAGCCUAUAGGAAUAUCAAUUAUUGUAAGGAUGUUAAUUAUUUUGUUGGUUGUUGUCUUUUCAUGCCUUAAAUGGGCAAUUAUUUAAGUUGAAAUUUUGAACAUUCUUUUGCAAAAGGUGGCAAGACAAAAUUGAAGUUGAACAAGUCUUUAGUAUUAUAAGGUGUUCUUUCAUGAAACAAUUAAGUUUAAUUUAACUCACAAGUCACAAAUCUUCUAAAAAAGCUAUAAAACACAUUAUAGUCCCCCCCCCCCCCCACAAAAUGAAGGUGGUAUAUAACUAUUUGAUAAGUACAAGCAUGAUUAAUAAAGGAACCAAAAAAACUUUACGCAAAAUAUGCUUUUAAUAAAUAUUAUUCUUUAUACUUUAAUAAUAUUAUAAUCAGUAUUAUCUUAUAAGUGGAGUAUGAGAAGGAUGAGGUGUACACAGACUUUAUCCUUCUGAAUGUUAAGAGGUUGUUUUCGAUUGACCAGCGAUUUAAGAAAAAUGAUUUCAAAAACGGAUUUAACAGAUACAAAAGUAAAAUAUUACGCUCUAUACUUUAUUUAGGAAAAAAAAUAUUUGCAAAAUACCCGGCACGUAAGCAAGUUGUAUACCUUCCGUGUAUAUAAACAAUAUGUUUUAGUUAUUUUUAUUGUUGAAGUAUACAAAAUGUGAAUUGUAUACCCCAAAGAUAUACCUCACGUCACAUGAAAAUUUUUGGGAUGGAGUUAAGCUCAAGAUUUAUAUCUUCGUAUGGUAUCAUAGUAGAAUGGGAUCCAGCCCAAUUAAUGUUUAACAAUGAUGGGGCCCUUAGUUUAAAUUGUUCAGGCACCAGAUGUUCAGUCUUAGACGUGAAAUGAGGUGUUGAAGAGUCACACGUUAGAUGAAAAAGGGAUGGAUGGUAUUUUUAUAAGGACUUGAACAAUUCUUAGGUCUUGAACUAGCUUUUUGGAAUUUUUUGUUUGUUUGUUUGUUGCAUGUUGAUUGAUUCCUCAGUUUGGAUCUAUAAACUCUUGGUCAUACGACAAUAACUUUAACAGUUACCUCAAGCUCGUGAAGCUUAGCCUCAAGUUUUUGUUGAUUUUGAAUUUUCUUCUGUUUAUUGUGGCCUUGAGUCACCAUAUUGAGUCGUCGUGCUCUAAUCUCUGAUUGUAUUUUGCUCCAACAAUGUAUUUGCUUCAAAGUCCCUGCUAUUUGGUUAUUUACACUUAGCCCUUCAAUUACACCUUGAAAUCUCACUGCACCCCUAACGCGCCGUAGAGCUUUUCUUGCCUACACAAUUAAUUGCACUUCACAUUAAUAUUAAAUAUUCAAGAACUGUACGAAAAAUACUACAUUAGGCCAGCACCCAACGACAUUGUCUGUUGGCCUAGACGUGCAGUCGUGGGUCACAUUGCACUAUGUGGGAUGGAAGUAUGUCAUAAAGGCAUAUUAUGAAAGAUGCACCUAUACAUCUUAUUAAUCAAAAUUUAUGUAGUAUGACUCUCAUAAAAUGAAACGUGACAAUUAUUUUGGAACGGACGGAUUAUAUAAAGAAUAGUUACCAAAUGAGCUCUGAAGGCAGUCUGAAUUUUAGUGGCAGCAGUGUUGUGAGUAAAUUUAGUCUUACGAGUAAUCUUUUUUGAAGAUGAAGUUCCAUUUGAAUAAUGAGCACUAGGAACUUGAACUUCUCCAUUUGGCUCAUCAGAUGUACUAGUACUUGUAACCUGCAAAUUAAAUGUCAAAUAUAUCAAUCUAACUUUUAUUUUUGUGAAAAUUUGUUCGAUACGUAUACAUAGUACACUGGGAAGUCCUACAUUGGGGGUAAAGUGCUCCCUGAAGACUCCGUACUCAGGGGGACUCUAACCCAAGACCUCUGAUUAAGAAUGAAGGAGUACUAAUCACUCCAUCACAACCUUUGUUAGCUAAUUUCUUGGUAUGUUUAUUUAUUCAUAUGUAAGUUUUUCUUAGUGAAAAAUCUUGGUUCUUUAACAUAGUAACGAUAGACUGGUAAUGAUAUAUCGAUAUUCUUUUAUUUCCCUGGAGGGGAGAGGGGGUAAAAAUAUUUCUGAACUAUCCAAAAUAGGUCAAUUUUAACCUUCUAUUAUGUUUUGGCAAAAAUACACUCGACAUUAGCCAACUAGUUUGAAAAUGUCAUCCAACUAGGGAAGUAGUUCAAAAAUACUUUCUCUACUAACAAUUAUUCCGAAAUAAGGAGAAAUAAAUCAAUUUUACCCUUGAACUACUCGAAAUCGAGACAAUUUUGCUAGGUUUUUUUGAAAAUGCAGGGAAGUGAAUAGAGAGAAAUGUAGGUACCUUGAGCUGUUUUGAUUUUCUUCUUUUGUUCCUCUUUAGCCCAAUAAUUGUUUUCAAGCAAAAACCCAUAGUAUAUAAUAUUGAAUGAUCAAAAUUCAGAAUAUAACAUAUAGUUUCAUACUUCAGAACUUAUAAUAAGCAUAUCAUAAAGAUCUUUGGUUGAGUUCAAGUUUUUUAAUUCUCAAUUUUUUUGUGGUGAAAUUGAAAUAAAUUAGAAAGGAGGUAGGUGAUCUUUUCUUUUCUUCAAUUUAUUUAUAUAUAUAUAUAUAUAUAUAUAUAUAUAUUAUUUUAUUUUUUUUAUUUUUUUUAUAAAAAAAGAUAUGGAGUAGAAAGAAAUGUAAAAUGUACUACUUUUGUCACUCAAAAACUACAUGCCAACUAGAUAGUUGAGUAGUCAAUUUUUUAGGAGGUUGCUUCAUUUUAUUCACAAUGUUGGUGGCUUUGCUCUAUUCAAUUUCGGUCAAAAAAUCAAUGUCUUACCCUCACACCACUAAAUAAAUUAAUUAAAAGAAAUUUCACUCAACUAUUACUCCAUCCAUCUUAGUUUAUGUAACGGUGUUUGAAUAUGUCGAUAAUACGGAAUUUAAGUAUAGACGCAAAUUCAUGAUUUGAACUUUUCAAGUUCUGAACUUUAAUAUAGCGAUCUCAAAUGCUAGAACUAGGUUUAAAAUUUAAUGAAAACUUUAAUAUAUAUAUAUGAUUUGGACCAAAACAGCAGGAAAAAUUGAAUUUUAUUUUUUAUUUUAAAUAUGUUUCUUGAAUCUUUUUUCAAUUAAUUAUUUUAUUUUUGUCGUUAUUUAGUAAGAUUUCAAUUGCGUGAUCUUAUUUAUAUAUAUAUAUAUAUAUAUUAUUUUAUUUUUUUUAUUUUUUUUAUAAAAAAAGAUAUGGAGUAGAAAGAAAUGUAAAAUGUACUACUUUUGUCACUCAAAAACUACAUGCCAACUAGAUAGUUGAGUAGUCAAUUUUUUAGGAGGUUGCUUCAUUUUAUUCACAAUGUUGGUGGCUUUGCUCUAUUCAAUUUCGGUCAAAAAAUCAAUGUCUUACCCUCACACCACUAAAUAAAUUAAUUAAAAGAAAUUUCACUCAACUAUUACUCCAUCCAUCUUAGUUUAUGUAACGGUGUUUGAAUAUGUCGAUAAUACGGAAUUUAAGUAUAGACGCAAAUUCAUGAUUUGAACUUUUCAAGUUCUGAACUUUAAUAUAGCGAUCUCAAAUGCUAGAACUAGGUUUAAAAUUUAAUGAAAACUUUAAUAUAUAUAUAUGAUUUGGACCAAAACUAUUGGAAAACUGUUGUGUUCGGAAAAGGCUACCUUAAUCCAGAAAGAUUGUAUGUCAAUGUUCCAGGCUAUGGUUCGGGACUUUGAAUCCUGGUUCAUUUCAUGCCCCCUCCGGUUAUCCUUUUCUUUCCCUUCAUCUUCGAGCAAGUGGGUGAACCAAAGAAAGACUUAUGAAACUUGUAACAAAAAAAAACAAAAUUGUAUAUUUGGUCCUAUUGGGUUCGGAAAAGGCUACCUUAAUACAGAAAGAUUGUAUGUCAAUGUUCCAGGCUAUGGUUCGGGACUUUGAAUCCUGGUUCAUUUCAUGCCCCCUCCGGUUAUCCUUUUCUUCCCCUUCAUCUUCGAGCAAGCGGGUGAACCAAAAGAAAGACUUGCGAAACUUGUAACAAAAAAAAACAAAAUUGUAUAUUUGGUCCUAUUGGGUUCGGAAAAGGCUACCUUAAUACAGAAAGAUUGUAUGUCAAUGUUCCAGACUACGGUUCGGGACUUUGAAUCCUGGUUCAUUUCAUGCCCCCUCCGGUUAUCCUUUUCUUCCCCUUCAUCUUCGAGCAAGCGGGUGAACCAAAAGAAAGACUUGCGAAACUUGUAACAAAAAAAAACAAAAUUGUAUAUUUUGGUCCUGGCGGGGCUCGAACCCGCGACCUUCGGCUCAUAAGACCAACGCUCUAACCAACUGAGCUACAGGACCUUAUAUGCUCUCAUUAGAGUCAUAAAAUUUAUUAAUUUUAUAAAAUUAAGAAUAUCACACAUGGAGGUAAUCAAUUUUUAAUCUUAGCCAAAAUACGUCAAUAAUUAUCAUGUGUAUUUUGUUUCUUAACACGUGGUAACUGCAGUUGACAUCUCAUCAGUCAAGUUCUUCGGAAUGUGAGAGUACAAUAGCUAGCUAUUAUAAAAGUUGAUUCUAGAUUUAACUGUUAGUAAUUGUUAUCAUAAAAUAAAAAGUGGUAUAUCAAAACAUGUGGUAACUGUGAUUGGUGUUCUUCGAAAUGUGAGAAUACAAUAGCUAGUUAUUACAAAAAUUAAUCUAGACGACUUAGCUGUCAAUUGUUAUUAUAGAAUAAAAGGUCGUAUUUUCGCUAUUUGAUUUUAAAAUUUUAGAAAUUGUAUUGAUUCACUUUUUUCUGCCAAAAAAGGAUUUCGGUAACUCUAUUGAUAGCACAAGUGAAUAUUAGUGUUUGGACUAAAAUAUAUCUAUCGAAAGAGAUUAUUAAACUUAUUAUUUUAAUUGUAUCAUUCUUUUCGAAGAAGAUCAUACAACAAGAAAGGUUAAUUCAUGUCAAUUCAAAAAUAUUAGAAAAAUAAUUAGAUCUAAUCUUGGUAAUUACUACCCUAGCCAGUUGCUAACAUUUUAUAGUUGUUGACUUGUUGUUAUGUCAUAUCCAACUAAAUUUCUUUCUAGUUAUUUUUUUAAAAAAAUAAAAAAAACUAACCUUCCUUGAAAAUAUUCUAAGCACUACCAAAGAUGAAGAAAAUAAGUUUGUUAAUACUCUCACUAUUUCAAUUUAUUUGUCUGGUAUUAAUUUAAUAUAGUUAGAGUUUAAAAAAGUAAAAAGAAUUUCUGAAUUAUGCAUUCAUAAACUAAAAAUACGUAGAAUGUAUUAAAAAAAACCUUUUAAUCUUAUGAUCUUAGAGUCUGUUUGGUUUGACUUAUGGAUUUGAUUUAUUUUUAUCUAUUUAGCAUAAAAUUAAGUACUUAUAAAUGUUUUUUUUUUAAUUUACCCAAAACAGACUCUUAAACAUAUCAUGUAGAAAGAAAUUAGUAUAAAAAAUACUGUAAAAAAGAUAAAAGAAAUAUUAAUUUUUAAACAAAUUAAAAUGAAAAAUAACACAAAUAAAUCGAAACAAAGUGUGGUUAUCAAAGUCUCAAUAAUUUAAUUAUAAAAAGUAGAAUAAGGACAUAAGUAUGGGAAUAUUGUAUAGGUAGUAAAUAGAGAAUCUUGUGCAUAGAUGCAAUAUAUUGCAUAUCUAACAAAAUCUUCACACCAUAAAUACCAAAACAGAUGGUCAUGUGUCAUUAAAUGGGGCCCAUUGAAUGUGGCUUCUUGUUUGUAUUGGCCCCUCUUCCACACACACUUUUUUGUUUUGUUUCCUUUUACUCAUAGAUAGUUUGUUGAGCCUAAGGUGGCCCAUUUUGAAAGCCAAAAUCCAAUGGUAUAUCACAAUAAAGAUCUUCAUGACUCUAUUUUUUGGUAUUUUUUUCCUUAUGAGAAAAAUUACAUUUUUUGUGUCAAUCAAACCAAAUUAUUAUAGUAUCAAUUUUGGUUUUUUACCUUUUACAUAGUUGUUCGCUAUUUUUCCAUCAGAUAGUACCACCAUCAUUAUCACUAUUGCUUUUAGUUGCUGAAAUACUAUCGAAAACCUACUGAACUCAAUGAAUUUAGAAGAAGAAGAUUUUGAAAUCCGAUAUUGUUGAGCUUGAACCUCUCAUAUUUAAAAAAUCGAAAUUGUACAAGUGUUAUAAUUUGAAACGGGUGUCUAUAUGAAGCUUGUACAAAAAAUUUGAACCCAUUUGGGGUUGAUUUGAGAUUUUCUAGUCAAAAUUUUGAGUUGAUGCAUUAAAAGACGAAUUGAAGCGUUCUUUUUAUAUAUCAUCCAUGUAUAUUUGUGUAUCUCGUGUAUAUCAAAUAUAUUAGUGGUAUUUGUUUAUUGUUAUGUACAUAAUAUACAAUGAUAUUUUUCAUAUCAAUUCAAAUCAACUUCAGUCUUCCUCAAAUUUUGUAUAUAGUCUAAUAGAAGGUUAUCAAUUUUUCAAUGAAUUUCACCCACACACACUAAAAAAAAAACAAUGAUUAAAUUGUUAGGUUAGUCACUUGUAAAUAAGAUUGUUAGGCUAAUCAGUUGUAAAUAUUUUUUAUUGUCGAAUAUUUCUGAAAUAUUUUUUUUUGAUAUUCGGUACAUGAAACAUACUGUCUGACUAAUUUUGUACCAUAUUGGAUAAAUUUAUUAAGGAGAGUAAACAUAUUUUUAUUUUCAGAGUUCAAACUCGAAAUAUCUGACGAAGAUAGGACCCACUUGAUGACUCUAUGGGGUCAGACAAACCCUUCACCUCUCAAUUUUCGUUUCACCCCUUUUAUAUACCCUUUACCUCACUUGGAUUUGAUGUCCUUUUGGUUACUUUGUAUUUUAUGUAAAUAGAGAAAAAGGGAAGCCCAAAGUAGUUGGUUUUGGGUUUUGAAAGAAUCCACAAGAGAAUGCAUUAUUUCCAUAUAUAGAAAGUUUUCUACAAUGUAAUCUUUGCUCAAAAUUGCUAAACAACUUGGGAUGGGCUUUAAUAAAUUGCUUCAACAAAUCCAUCUCAUAUGGACUAAAGAGGAUAUAAUUAAAUGGUUGUUCACAUACAAAAUAUCCUUACAAUCUUUUAGUCAAAACAAGUAAUUAAUCUUUGCACAAAUUAAAGUUAAUUAAGUAGAAUAGAUAUUAUAAUUGAAUAAUAUGGUAUAGCUUGGAAAGUAUCCAUACAUGGAAACCUAGCACAAUAUUCCAAUUGUUGAAGAAAAAUAUUGUGGAGGAGCAUUCAAUAAAUGUGAAAAGUGUAUCAAGCAUUGUAUUAAGUACAAAAUUCCAAUAUACACAUUUAAUACCAUAAGAUAUAAAUGACAUUUCAAUACAUUAUGCAUAAUUUUAGUGUAAGAUCACAUAAUUAAAAAACCUUAUAUAUUUUCGUAAAUACGAUGUUAGUCAAGCUAUUUUGGUCAAACUUUUAAAAACUACUUAUUUUGAAAAAUAUUAUUUGUUGGUUAAAUUAGCUUUCCAAAAGUACUUUGGAGAGAAGCCGUUCAUAUUAUCAAUUUAUUUUAGUACUAUUACUUUUAGUAUUUGGUAAACAAAUAGUGGCUGACCAAUUUGUUCACCAAAAUACUUUUGAUUGUCAAAUUACAAAAAAAGAUUAUAGAAUUUUGUGGUUCAUUUUACAAUUAGUAUUAACAAAAUAAAGAAAUAAUUUUAUUAUAUAAAAGACUCUAAUUAAAUUUUUGUUUUUAUUUAGUUAAAAUUUAUAACAUAAGAUGAAAGUAUAUAUUAAGAUUGUUAAUCAAUACCAAUAUAGUCAAAUCAAAAGGGAAAUAAGAGAAGAGUGUUGUAUACACUUUUUGAAAUAUGUAUAAAGAUUAAUAAUUUGGAAAAAUAAAAAUUUCUAGUAAGGAUAUUUUAUCACGAAGAAAAAAAUCUUCUUUUACUUUUUGUGUGAAGCAGAAAUUUAUAGCGUCUCUUCAAACAAUAAUAAAAUUAUUCCUACUUCUACUCAAAAACACGUAUAAUUUCUGAAUUAAAACCUCAAAUAAUUUUGAUUUUUCCGAAAUUUGGACAAACAUACUAUACCACAUAUAAAAUGAAAUAAGGAGAAUACUUUAUUAAUUUUCUAAAUGACAAAUAUUUUAGAUCAAUUUUUCUUUUUGGCUGAAGUGGGAAAUUAAAAUGAGCAGGGAGAAUAUUUGUUAAGAAUCUUUCCAAGUAUUUAUUACUAUUUAUAUUGAACAAAUCUUGUACAUUAAGAUCUUUUAUUAAAGAUCGUAUAAUAUUUUUGCUUUACGCACGGUGUAUAAUACACAAUAGAGAGAGUAUUUGCUGGCUGUGAUGAAUGAAAAAAUCUUAUUAGUAGCAUCGUCUUUAAAAAUAAAUUUAUAAUGCAUGAAUUCAAAUUUAAUCAUAUACUUUAAUAUAGAUAUCAAAUAUCUAGUGAAUUUUUUUAAAUAUAUAUGCAUUGAAUGAGAUUUCAUAAUGGUGAUUUUUUGAAACACCGUAUAAGAAAGAAACACAACAAGUUUUACGAAAGAAAAAAUCUUUGUGAGUUGAUAAUAGUAUAAUAUUUUAACACGAUCAUACAUUCAUACUAAAUUAUUUAACAAAGAAAUAUAAAAUUACUUGUAAUAAUAAGUAACUAUUAUAAAUAAAUAUAAUUAGUACUAACAAUUUAACUUUAAAAUAUACAUUUAUAGCUACAUAUAACUUAUUUUAGAACAUAAAUUUCAAAAAUCUUUUUUCAUUUAAAAAAAAAUUCAUAUCAAGUCAAACUAAUUGGCAUAAAUUAAAGCAAAGAAAGUACUUAUUUAGGCUCAAAUAUGUUAAUCAAACUUUGAGAAAAAUUCAAAUAUAUUAAAAUUUUGGCUCAUUUAUUCGAAUCUAUUUCAAUAACAUAUUUGAAUUUUUUUUUUAAUUCUUUUAUAUAUCAAAUCUUUUAAGACGUGUGUCAAAGUCAAGAUCGAUAGUAAACAAAGUGAGUAACAAUAAUUCAGUUUUUUUACUGUGUAAUAAAAAGCUUAGAGCGCGGCAUUGUCUUUAUUUGUAAGAGAGAAAAAAAAAACAGAGAAUUUGAUGAGAGAUUUAGAGGAAAAGAGAAAGAAGAGUACUUGAGAGUCGGAAAAUGUGGAGUCGACCGAUAAUUUUGGCCGAUAAAUUUGAUUGCCUGAAUCUUACUCUCACAAAUUCCGCAUUUUUAGCUUCCUUUAGAUUUCCAUUUUGAAAAUUUUGAAAAAAAAUUUAUUAUUUUUUCUUAUUUUUACUGAUCUGAUCUAUUUACAGACAACUGGUUAUGAGAAAAAUCCGAAUAUCUCAGAUACUCUUCCUUUGCUCUUUAUAGCUUGCUUUAACUGUAUCUGUAUUUGUACAUUUUUGUGUAAAUAAGAUCCAAUUUUAUAUAGAUUUGUUUGCUGAAUUAUGGGUUUUUUGGUGUACAUUUAUUUAUUUAUAUUUAUCUCCAUAUAAGUUGCAGAUCUUGACUUGAUGACCUACAAGAUUUCAUGUAACGUACAAAUGGGGAAUUGGGUUUUUUUUUCUUCUCCUUGAAUUUGGCUUCUUUCUGUAUUUUCAUUGAAUUUUUCCAUUUGGGGUUUUCUUUCCAAACCCUCAAGAUUAAUUGUAUUGUUUAGAGGAAUUUAUAUGGUUAUAAUGUGGUGGAUGGAUUCAAUGUCUAUAUAUAUAUUUGUCCUUUAGGUUUUACUUUUAAGUAGUAGUGUAUAGUUUUUUUUCUUGAUCUAUGAAGACAAAGACAAACAUAAUGGUGAUAGAGGAGCAUACCCGUAAGUGUAGUAAUAGUAGUGGUGGUGGUGGUGGGGAUGGGGGUGUUGGUGGCGGCGGUGGUGGUUCAAGUGGUAGUGGUGGUGGUGCUACGAGUAGAGCAUCGAAAAAAGUGAAGCAGAAAAAAAUCCCACAAAGAGGGCUUGGUGUUGCUCAACUUGAAAGGAUUAGAAUGGAAGGGGAGAAAAAACAUGAAAAAGAUGCAAACUUUCAAACACCUAAUGUUUUGGUACCAAAUUCAGUUCAUUCCACCAAAACUAUGUCGAAAUGCUUAGCUGUUGAAGGUUCUAGUUUUAGGCCUAGUUCAAUCACUUUACCACCACCAUCAACAAUGGAUCUGCUUUCGAAAAAUAGUGUCUUUAGACCAAAUCUGUCUGCCUUAGUUCUUGAUGGUUUCCGUCCGAAGACUUUACAAUCAUCAAAACCAAUGAACAUGGGUGGAGGGGAGUUAAGUUGGUCGUCUGUUUCAGGUUCAGGGAGUGAUAAAUGUCCUAAAUUGUGGAGUUGUGAGUAUAGUCCUGAAAGAGAAAGCCAACAGGGAAAUCGCCAUGGCGUUGUUUUCGGGGCUAAUGUAGAUUUGCCGAAUGAACUGCAUAACCCCAUUUUACCUCUACCCAGUGUGUUGCAAAGAUCACAACAAUAUCAGCAACCUUCUUGUUCUUCAUCAAUGGUAAGCAAGUUUAUUAAUUUAGUUGCAAUGUUAUGUAUCAUCGUUGGAUUGUCAAGUCUAGAAUUUUGUUUUGAUGUGUUUGAAAUGCUCUGAUUAAAUCACUUUGUGGUAAUUGCAGAUGAAUAUCUCAUCAGGGAUUUCAUCAUCAUCUGUACUAAAUUAUCAGAUGGAGCCCCCUUCAAACCAAAAUUAUUAUUCGUGUAAUUAUUUACCUCUGUGGCCUGAAGAUGUGAAGGUAAUUUCUUUUAUUCUUCCUGUUAGUCACUAUUAAAUAGAAAUCAAUUUUCAUAAUGCUCUCUUCUGUCAAAAGGCUGAAACACAGUUUACCUGGAUAUCCUAUUGAUUCUAGUGAGGAUCUUAGUUUGUACAGAACCAUUACGUGAAAAGUUCUUUGAAUUAUAAAGAUGGAGACAUGUCAUUUACAUCCAAUGUGUUGAACAUCUUUUUUCUUCGAACUUGAUAGUAGAAAACUUUAGUACACAACUUCUACUGCCAAAAAAAGGUAAAGGAACUUCUCUUUGUGACCUUAACUAAUAUUCAGAUACUUGAUGAAAAGAGCAUCUUAAAAGCCAGAAGAGAUGCUCACUCAGCUCAGGUUACACCCUCCACUCCCCACAAAAUGUAGGAUAGCUCCAUAGUUGCCCCUUUUUUGCUCAAACAGUUCGUGUUCUUUCAUCUAAACAAGCUAUCCGAGGAUAAUGAUUUAAAAACCAAGAGACAUGUCACAAUCACAAUUCACAAAUGUGAGAUAACAUGUCUCCAACCAUUAUUUCAGUGCGUCAAAGUGGAACUCACAACUAAAGACCCAAAACUAGGUAUCUAGAUGGUUUAUCUUUGAACUCAAGGGUGUCACCUAGUGGUCAAUGAAGUAGGUUGAGAACCAUGAGGUUUUAGAUGCAAAUCUCAACAGAGACAAAAAACACUAGGUGAUUUCUUCCCAUAUGCCCUACCCUUGGUGGACAAAAUUGCCUGAUACCUGUUGCUAGUGAGAGGUGGCAGGUUUCCCGUGGAAUCAGUCGAGGUGCGCGUAAGCUGCUCAGGAAACCUUGGCUUAUCAAAAAAAGAAGAAGAUUGUUUUACUUUAAGUUUUUUGGUUGACGGCUACAACUUUGAUUACUGAUGAUGUAUUUGUAGAUGGUUGGCAUGAAGAGACCAUACCCCUUCACUCCAGAGUUUCCACCAGUCCCUACAUUUCACUGCAAAUUUCCUCCAGCCUAUGUUAACCUUGCAUCGAGAUCACCUGAAUCAGCUUCCUGCAGCAAUGAAUGUGCAGCCAGUUUAGAAUCAGGAAAUCUGCUCAAAAGGUUUGAUAUCUUGAAUGAUCAUUUCAUAGUUGUAGUGCUUAAAAUACCUGCUUAGACUUUUUUUGGCACUUUUCUCCAGAGAAGCUCCUUCAGGAUCAAGGACUCUAUCCGAGUCCAAACCAAGGGAUGUUGUCAGACAAAAUAAAGCUCUCAAUGGAGAUUUUCUCACGUUGGCUCCUCCUACAGCUGCUUCUCCAUAUCAGCAUUCAUCUAAUUCAAACCUUCAGAGUCGAGAGAGAUUUACGUUGGAAUCAGUGCCUUGUCAGGUGAGAACAAAAGGUCUACCAUUUUUAUGUUCUGAUGCCUUUAUCUAUUGGUAUCCCGAAUUUGGUGUAACGAUCUUCUUGCCUUUGUUAAAUCCACAGGGAGUUGCUGAAGAACCUGCUACAACAAGCUCAGCCCUAAGCAAAUCAGUUCAAGAAUCCAUCUAUGGAUUCUUCCCAACUGCCAAGGUACAAAUCAGCCAAGAAGGAACAAACAAACGCAAUUGCCACGUUGAAGUAGGAGGAAAUGUUGAUCUCAAUCUGAAGCUGUAGAAGUUAGUCAUUACACUUGGUUGUGCUUCUUCCGGGAGAAUUUCUGUGUAUCUCUUCGUGAGAUGGCUAGUUCAAGUCCUAAGAUGUUUGUUUCUGCAGGGCUUUCAUUCCACUCUGUGGUAGAACAACGUUCCUUCUGAUGAAUAUCUUUACCAUUUGUAGUUGAGCCUCACAUGUAAGUCAGAGCAUGAAAAAUAUGCCUCAUACAAGAGAGGGUUAAAUUAACCUCCGGGUCCAUGAUGAGAUGACGAGUGAGAUUUUGAUUGGAUUUUUCAACUAGGAUGUCUGGAUUCAGGUCUUUCUGUUACCAUUGGUUCUUAGUUCUUAAACUUCUGUAAACUGUUACUCUCUUAUGUGUGGCGAGUUAGAUUCUUUUGGCUAUAUAUUUUCACAUGUCUUCAGUUCCAUAAGGCAAGUGAAAUGUUGAGAAUUCUGGCUGUAGUAACUUGUUUAAAUCAAGUAUUGAACAAAUUAUGUUAUGAACUUACUGUGUCUAUGUCUGUUUAGAAUAGGCAGAAAAUUAGGUGCCUAAAUGAUUGAGCCUUGCCUACAGGUCACAUGUAGCAAAAUUAACCCAUAAAAAUAUGACUUACUCAAGUUUGGUGAGCUAAUGACUUGUUCAUUUAUUAACUCGGUCCAUUUGAUCUGCCAAUGCAAUCCAUCCAAGGUUGGGCUGAUAUAUCAUUCUAAUGACCUAUGAGAAAUUUUGUUGAAAUAUUUUAAAAGGACUUUUUUUCAUUAGAUGUAUAUUAUGUACAACCAUAAACAAAAAGAUUACUUAGGUGAUUAAACUGUUAUAAAAAUCAAGGAAAUAAAUUAAAAAUUAGAAAAAAUUAGGUGGUUUGGACAAUGACCCAUUGUUUUGUCCAUUCUAUUCUAGCCUAGUACAAUUCAGAUAACUUUUAUCAGGUUAAUGACCUAUCUAUUAUUAACUUGGAAUUUUUACAAAAAUAUACAAUUUAAUAAAAAUAACUACAUCUACAUAGUUCAUAUUACACCCACAUAUUCCAUCUUAACACAGUAUAUAACAUUAUAAAAUUAAAAUUAAAAAAAACUAGGUGUAUGAGUGGAAGUCAAGUUUUGGUGGAGUACCAGCGAUUUAACCGUUUUGGAAGAAGUAUGCAAAACAGGACGUAAGCACUCCUCACUUCAACCUCGAAAAUUGUGAGUCUGAGUCCAAGGGAGCAAAAAGAUGGAAACUCCUCCUUGAGAGGGGUAAAAAACAAGUGUGCGUAGCAGAAAAGUACAUAAAAACUGCAUAAGAGAUAUAUGGAAACGCAGAAGCAGUCUGCUCAACAAUAAUGAUAUGAUUGACUAGAGAGAACAGUCAAAACCUGUAACCAAUAAACAGCAGUGGGAAAUUGUAAGUAAAUAAAUACAACCAAAUCACUUAAGUUUUCAAGUUACUGAAGUUCUACUAACACGUCCAACAGCGCCUUAAGUGUGCCGUAGCUCAAAAGACGCAUACAAGUUCAACAAAAAGAGUCGUCUAAGACCAACCAAAUUUGUAGUCAAGAACAUAUACAAGUACAAGAGAGAAGGGGUAAAGUAGAAAAGCUAGCAAGGAAGUCCAAAGAGGAAAGGUGCUACGAACGCUUGCAAAGACCCCCACGACAACACAGACAAUUAGAAUAACCAAGACUUCAGACGAGAAGUCCCAUGUCAAUCCUCUGAUAUAGACGAGAGCCAGGAAGACGGAUAGACAAAGGAGAUUGUUCAUAGUCACUGCUCCAUACAACUGCAAGGUACCAUCACAAAUGUUAUCAAACAAAGGCAAUUGUAUCAGUGAUACACGCGAUCAAACUGCUCAAAUCUAAAUUAUUGAAUGUUUAAACAAAAGAGGUUAAAAUGGAGCAAAAUGGAUAUUGAGGAUUAAUAGAGUUGAUUCCAACUAGCUUGAGGAUCAACUGUCCUACAUUAAAUCCCCUCCAACCAUUUAUCUCAUCCUGCAUACAGAAAUGAUCGUAAGGGAUUUGACAAUUGGGAAACCUCAGAUCAAGUCUGCCUCUUGAUUUUCAUUAAUGAUCUUCCAGGUUCAUUGAUGCAAGGGGUAGAAAACCCACAAAUUAUACUACAUAAAAGCACAAAGCUAGAGGAAAACAAACCUCAGAAAAUGUUAAUGACGCAGACCUCAACUUUUUCCGGCUAGCAAAGAUAAUAGCUGACACCGCCUCACUGGAGUUGGUCGCCAGUGGCAGAGCAAUGAAUGAGAUGAAGAAAGAAGGAAUGCUUGUGGCACUAGAGAAAUUAUUGACAGCAUCAACCAGAGGAUCAGCAAACACGGCGGCAAUGACAGUACCCAGCAACAGCAGUAGAACAGCCUUAAUUACAGUUGAUCGAGGAUUCUCAACAGUCUCAACACUUUCGUCACUUUGAUCCCCUAAGAAAUGGUGUUCUCUCCUUGUUUGCUGCAAGCACGUUUAUAUUUUAUCACUAUCGUCACGACAAUGAACUAUCUAGAAAAGGUCACAACACUCAAACAAACCUCAUGCAAGUCAUCGAGGUACUUCAUUGUAUCAGGACCAGCUUCAGGAGAAGAAGCCUCGGAACCCCUGGCCUCAGUAAGCCAUUUUGUAACUCCAGCAAUGAACUCGGACAUUUCAAUUCGAUGAUCAUGUGAAGUAUCGAAGUCUUUCAUCAGUUUUUCUAUAGCAUCAUUCUCAUGUAAGUUUAUCUCCUCCAAACGGAUUCCUACUACCAGAGCUUUUAAUUCAGCGCGGGAAAGAUACCCAUCCUCAUUUUCAUCAAUUGCCUUGAAUAGCCUGUCAUGCAAUCCUUCAUCAUAUUGAUCAAGAUUCUAAAAGUGAUUAAAACUGUGCAGAAAUCAUUUCAAACUUACUUUUCUAAAACUUCUAUAUUUGGUGCUCCCUGGUCUGUGCAAAGCCUCCCCAAUGCACGCAUUCUUAACUGUUUCAAAACUCCUGAUAUAACAUGCUUAUGUUUUACAUAAGCAAGACGUCUACUCUGUAUCCAAGGCUGAAAGACCUGCAUUAUAAGUUAGAAGUUCAGAACGACUUCAUUAUAGAAGAUAAGAAACAGGCCUCGUGAUCUCAAACACUAAAAAGGUGAAUUUAUUAACCAGCCUAGUAUAAAGAAUGACAAAGAUUUAUAUUUAUUUGUUUCAUCUUGUUGAAAGAGGAAGAGGUAUACAGGAGUCAUCAGGUUGUCUUCAGAUACAAGUUCAAUUUGAACUCAGGCGGUUAUGUGGAAAGUCCAUUAUCCAGCAUAUGUGGGGAUAAAAACUAUUUAAAGCCCGGUUAAUCAUAGGCAAUGUUGUUAUUGCCUAUUUGAAAAUUCAGCUAGAAACUGUAAAAAUUGAUAUUUAUCUCCAAAGAGUGUUGUCAAUGCAAAUCUCUGCAGAUACGUCAUUGCAGUUUGAAAGAAAAUUAGAUUACCCACAGUGAAUAAAAGAAAAAAACACAUGGGCAAUGUCACAGUACCUGAUAGACGCAAUAAGAAACAAGCAGUGAAAGUGAAAUGAUAAGACCAAUCAAGACAGAUAAAUGUCUUCCUGAAGUUGAAUGGAGGAGCUGUGGCAAUUGGACAACAAGAAAUGGUGUUACAGACGCUGCCAUUAUCGUUGCAGCAUGGCUUGUCCAGAUGUCAGUACUAACACCAGAACCUACAUUGACAGCCACUCAUUGAGUAGAAGCAUCUUGAUACACAAAAUCUGGCCAUAUACUAGCAGGAAUAUCACUUGCACAAGUACACAAAAUCCUCCUGGUGGCCCAAUGAUUUCAAAGACUAGAGCAUAUUUAGUCCAAACAAGGGCAGAGGGUGAAAUAAAGCUGAAAAGGAUCUAUAGCAACAUAUUUCGGGAAAGACAAAAGUAGUAAAGAACAAGAAGGAGCUUGUAUACGUUUCUGUAUACAUAUUCUAAGAGUUGAGAUGCAAACCCGUCAAGCUGAAUCCUCUAGUGUCUUUCAUGUCUACAGCAACAGAAUUUUGUAUAUCGCACUUGCCAACAAUGCAACAGGUUCCCCAAAUAAUAGUUAUAAGCAUCACAGUUGACCCAGCUAGCAAUCCCAUUCCUACAGAGACCUGGCUCUGAGCAGCUGCAGUACUUCCAGAUAUCCCCGAUACUGAAACAAUAAAGUUCAAAGUAGUAAGAAACUUGGGACACGUUCAUUAUGGCUUGUAAUAUAUGGUCUUUGACUGAUAUAGUAGGCAUCCACAUUAACAAUUUUUUCUUAAAAACCGAGAAACUCACGAGGGCCAUAGCGCACGGUUCGAAGCGUGGAUAAUGGGGCCCCCUCUACUCUUCUCUACUUAAUACCAGGCCCUUGUACGCAGAAAGGUUCAAACCUAGGAUGUGCCCCUAACCCACACAUCACAAGCUUCGCUCUUACUACUAGCUACUAGACUGAAGUCAUGGAUUAGAUGCUGCAAUCUAGGGGACAAAGAGAAAUUUAUUUAUUUAUUGUUUUUUAAUAACCAUGGUAUCAUGGCCAACUUUCGCCCACCUCACUAAUUCCAUAGGAUAUCUGUCACCUCCCACCCGCAAUAGAUACCACGUAAGCUCUCGGGCACCUCUACUAAUUCCAUAAACUGCUCUACUGGAAUUUGAAGCUCAGAUCUCAUGACUCUCAACACAUUAUACUGACCACACAAAGUGAAAUUUACUCGUAGUAAAACACUAUUUCUUAAUCAACUAAGAUUGCAUCAAUCCCCUAAUCCUUCAAUUAGUUCAAUCGACAUAUUAGAUCUUGAAAACAAGUGAGAAUUGAUUCCUACUCACAUCAUUUGUUUCCCUUCAAGAUCAAAGGAUCAUAUUCAUAAGGUUUUAAACUAGUAUCUCCCAAAAUCCAGCAUGCAGGCUUCGAGACAUGGUUAGGAUGAUACUACAAUUACUAACAGGUAAAACAAAUUAAUCAAUCAGUGAACCAAAAUCAGAGAACUAUUAUAAUAAUCGUACCGAGAAUAAGCAUAGCAUCCGGAAGAGCACCAAGCACAGGAAGAAAAAGUCCACCAAUAAUACCAGGCCCUAAAAUCUCAAGCAACAGUUCACUACCCGAAGAGAGAUACGUAGCACCAAGGAACAUAAGGUAACCAUAAACCAAAAUGAGAAAAACAUUUCCGAGAGCAGUUUUAGUACAAGGCAUAAAUCCAUAACUCUGUUCACAACUCUCUUCCUCACCGCCGGCGAAAUCCCGAUCCAGCCGGAGAAUUUCCAAAUCCCGACCGAUCUCACUGUGAACACCAUCUGAAAUUAGUCCACCGGAGUCACUGAUGAAGCGGCGGCCGUUAACGGCGCCGGAUAAUACCAGUAGGAUGAUGAAAGUGAGAAAAAAAACUUUGAGAGACAUUUUUCGUAAUUAUGGUGCUAAAAUAAUUACAAAAACAUGAUUAUGAAGAGAUCUUACUGUUUUGAGAGUGAAAAUUGGAGUCGGUCACUAAUUAUUUAUUCAUUUGAAUCAUUAUUUGUUUUAAUAAAAUAUUAGUAAAGGCCAUAGAUGCCAUCGGAGUUGGUCGGUAGGAAAGUUUUGGAGCUUUUCUGAAAAUGGAUUUUACGUACUUGUUUUUCGCAUGAGAAAUGCGGGAGUUUCGGUCUUUGGUACUGAAAAUACAUGUUUGGACCAAUAUUUAAGUUGACGGGAAAAAAGAGUAUUAUUUGAAAUUUAAAUAAAAUGUUGGGGUCCAAAAUUUAAAUAGAAAGAAUGUUCUAAUCUUUAAUCAUUUAGAUCUUAGUAUUAUGUUUGUUUUUUUAUUUUUAAGAUUAUAUUUAUUGUAAGUUACAAUCUAGAACAAGAGUUAGGUCUUGGGUCAGGUCUCAAUUCGAGAUCAGAGUAUGUCCCAGGUCGGGAUCGUGGUCGAGAGUUGGGUGUUGGCAUAUGUUGAGUCAUAAAUCGGGGUUAGGAGUCACUGACUCACUUCCCUUACAAGGAUCGAGUACUGAGUUGGUGUCAAGAGUACAGUCUUAAGUUAGAAUUGGUGUUUUUUUUUUUUUUUGGUUUCCCACCCGGUGUUCGGAGCCCACAUUAGAGCUCCGACUAAAUCCGGAUCGCGCUUUGCAGGGCCCAUUCGGGGGUGGCGUUCCCAAUAGGAUUUUCUCCAUAUCCAAGGCUCGAACCCGAGAGCUCUAGUUAAGGGUGAAGCACUCCCAUCAGUGCACUCCAACCUGAGUCGAUGUUGGAAGUCGGAUCUUGGGUCAACUUUGGAAGUUGGGAUCCAAUUUACUAGUUGGGUACUAGGUUAAGGUUAGAGUUGUAAUUCAAAAUCAGGUUCCAAGUUUCAAAUUGGGAUUGGGGCGAGAGACGAGGUGACAUCAAGGUCAAGUCAUAGAUCGGUGUUAGGAGUUGGUUUCCAAAUUGGGGUCGAAUCAGGGUUGGGAGUUGGGUCCCAUUUCUAGGUCGUAGUGCAGUGUUUUUAUUUUAUUUUAUUUUAAAAUGGGGCAGGGAAGUGGAAAUAGAGGGGCUUACAAUAUGGGGAAUCAAACAUUUAUCAAUAAAUUAAAAAAAAAAAACUUACCAAUAAGGUAUGAGUUUAGACCGUCAACCAAUUGAGCUAUAAGGAUUUCCUGGUGGUGAGGUUGAAACAGAGUUUUGAAAAAUAUUAUCCACUUUAGGAAAAUCAUUUUCCUUAAAUUUGAGGAAAAUGAAUCAAUUAAAAAAUAUUUUUUAAAACCUGUGAUCCAACCAAACAUAAUAAUAUUGAAAACACACCCUUAAUAUCAAACAUUGACUAAAUAGUAGUAAGAGUAAGCUAUUGCCACAUAAAUCAUAAUUCAUUGCUCUUGUAAUUGCAACAAGUAUUCCAUGAUAGUUCCAUCUUUAUAUAUAUACAUACAAUACACCAUAAACUACAACUCUACAACAUCAUCACGGUAACACAUUUCUACUUACGUCGUAAUUUCAUAGAACAUUGGUUUCAUCUUACCACUGUAUCCGCGCUUGGAUCGUCUCCCUAAUCUUUCAAUCUGAUACUAACAUAGGGUUUAUUUUAUGUUUUACAUGCCCGUGACUCCUUAUGUACAAGCCAAGUCACUUUAAGAGGAACUACAGGAGCUAGCUGAACAAUGAGCAUUUCACCUUUCUAUAGGUUUUCCUUUCUGCAAAUCAACGUUGUCUUCGUUCAUAGAUAGUCCUGAGAAGUGAGACUUCAAGCCAAUCCAGCAUUGGUAAUAAUCGUGAUCCAUAAACGGAGAUUCAAGUGCCCACGGACAGACUCGGGGUAUUAGGCAAGACUCAAACAUAAAAGCCAUGGUAUCAGCUAUUCUAUGUGGACCAGCUUCAUUUCCAAGUGCAAUGGUUGCCUGUCAAUACUUUUUUUUAGAAUUUUACCCUCAAAUGUGGAGUAACAAUACAAAUUUAAGAUAACAUAUCAACAAUUAAAUAGUUUAGCACUUAAGAAAUCGUUAAAUUUGUGAAGAUUCGGAAGUGGAGGAUCAAAAGGGCACAUAUUACUUAUGAUUAAAUGUGCUCUAUCAUCAGAAUUUUGUUGACAUUUGAGGGACUAAAAGGCACAAAUUUCCUUAUAAAUAAAGCCGCAUAUGUGGGAAGGGGAAAGACACAUGACCAUAGAGAAGGGAGGAAUAGAGCAGUACUUGUACCUCAUAUGUUUUGGUAUCAGGGCCAUGAGGAGUCAUGCAGCUGUGAAGGCUUGCCCCGCCAGGAUGAAAACCAUCAGCUUUUGCCUGAAACAAGCCUAACCGCGUUAAAAAUUGUAUGAAAUAACCCCAGAAUUGACAUUGACUUCAUGCAAGAGCGAGAUAAACAACCUCGUAUCCCCCAUUGAUUAGACCCAUAAAUUCACUCAUACAAUUGCGAUGAUAAUAUGGAGGACGGAAGGUGUGUUCAGCAACCAACCACCGGGGAGGGAAAAUGACAAAGUCAAGCAACGCCACACCAGGUUUAUCUGUUGGUGCUGUCAAAACUGCAUUGAUUUAAGAAACUAGAGCAAUUGUAAAUAGCGACACCGACAAUAAAAAAAAACAAAAUUCACACAGAUUGAUGACAAUUAAUAGAUGAAAUGCUGAUAUUUAAACCUAACCAACCUGUGUUAAUUGAAGGAUCACUGUGGUCCAUCAAUACUGUAUUGUAAGGGCAGAACUUGCUUAAAUCAUACUGCAAAUUGAGGAAAUAUAUUACGUCAGGGACUAAGGAGACAAACAGCAUCGAGUUUCCAUGUAGCAAAGUAAAUUGGAUAAAAUGUGCACAAGGCACUCAUAUUAUGAGAGAUUGAAAUAUAGAGAGAUACCCGCCUUAUAAGGAACAUAAUUGCCAUGCCAAGCGACCACAUUAAAAGGAGAGAAGUCCUGCUUUGCAGUGAAGAGUUCACCUCCAUACUUCUGCACAAUAGUGUAACCUGGACGGGAGCCAUCUUCAUACCAGGCAACAGGAACAAGAAAAUCCCUCGGAGCAGCCAGACCAUUUGCACCUAAAUACAUAUUCAAAUGCAUAUUAUCAGCAAAUAACAUCAGUUGUUUAAAUAGCAAGUAGUUUUCCACUUUCUAAAGCACCUAUUGGCCCCAGAUCAGGAAGUUGAAGAUGAGUUCCAAAAGUUUCAGCGACAUAACCACGUGAAGGUCCAUCUGGAAGGUCAACAGCAAAUCGAUAUCCUUGAGGCAAAAUCACAAUUUCACCAGGACAUACCUGCAAUCUUCCGCAUUCAGUAGUAAUCCACAGCCCUACAGUACAAACAGAGAGUAAGAAAGAGUUUCAAAGCACAUGUCAAAAUAUUUGACGCUGAAUAUGAACAGACAGAUGACGCCUGAAUGAUUGACACUUACUUCCUUUUUGAGGAACAAUCAGAAAGUCACCAUCAGCAUUGCAGAAGGCAGAGUUCUCCAUUGAUUUGUUGGCAGUAUACCUGCAUUUUCCACAAAACACACAUUAUCACUUGAUCUACUGAACUUUGUAAUAGGUGUUGUGCUGAGUUGAUAUUCAAUACACAUCAUUGUCUCACAAGAGAAAUUCAUUUUAGCAGAAUUAUAGUCCAUGAUGUUAAGGAGAUACGAUAUACUCUCAGCUUGAAAGCAAAUAGCAACAGAAUUUGAAGCCAAUGUUUAUAUCCAAAGCAUAACAAAUCUCAAUCCUAAUUAUAAUUUAACAAGAACAAAACAUAAACAAGAAAGUAACAACAAUAUCCCGAACUCCAUCAGAAGGACGUGGUGACGACAAUACUAGAGCAAGUUUGAAAUACCAAUUACAUGUGAAUUGCAAAACCAUGUCGGAGAUAUGAGCUGCCAGCCCCACAUAUAGUAUACAAACCAUCAAUGAAAUCAGUCGGUGUUUCUGGGAUCUCGACAGGCUUCCACCUUAGUUGAGUUGGUGUAGCAGAACUGUUUGACUGGUUGAAUUCACUCACAAGCUUUUCAUGUCUUGGCAUUCUUGGUCUAAAUGGUUCAUGUGUAACCGAUGGCUUAAUACGAUAUAGCCAACUGCACAAACAAAAGAUUCCUUCAGUAACAUAACCAACCUAUCCAUCAAUUAUACCUCCAUCCUAAAUGAUCAUUAAUCAAAUCCUCAAAAUCCAUUAACAAAAGAAUGAAAAAUUCUCAUUUUAAUUAGCUAACACAUUUUUAUAUGGAAGAGUGAAAACUGUUCAUUUCUGGAAAUGGCCAAAGUCACUGAAGUUAGGCAAUCAGUUUCAUUAUCUGAAAUAUUUACAAAAUAUCAAAAAACUUAUGAAUUUCACAUCCAACCAAAACACUUCCUAAUAUGUCGUUUGGUUGGGAACAAGUUAUUCCCGAUUAAUUAUCCUGGAAUAACUUAUCCCACCAUAUACAUGCGAUAACUUAUCCCAUCACUAUGGUAUAAAUGGUGGGAAAAUGAUGGGAUAAGUUAUCCAAACAUGGCAACCAAACAAGACACCAAACUCUUAUCCCGGACUAUUUUUUGUUUAUGCCAGGACUAUUUAUUCUUUAUCCCUUGCACCAAAGAUUAUAUUAUCCAAAUGCCUAACUAAUUAAGCUGCGAUGACUUUGAACAAUAUGCCUAAUUCAGAAUUAGCAAACAAGAUGAUAAAAGAAGAUGAUUAGGCGGAUUCUCCAACAGACUUAGUUACAGUCACUUACUUGUUAUAUCAGGUAAGUAAGCAAAUGAAGGUAUGUACCUGCGUUGAUUAAGUUUGCGAGGGGAAGUAAAAGAGGUGCCAGAGAUCUGCUCAGCAUAAAGGCCAAAGGGGCAAAUAAGAGGACUAUUUUGACCUUGAGGUAGAGCUCCAACUAUAGCUUCAGAUGAGAAAUGAUUCCCAAAUCCUGUUUGGUACUCCAAAUCAGAAGGAAAAUUGGAACUUCUGCUGCUGCACUCCAUUUCUUUGACACACCAAACACUGCUAGUAUAUUUUUUUAGCUUUGCAGAGAGAUGAACAUUUUUAUGUCCAAAAAGGGAGAGAAGAAGAAGAAAACGAAACGGUGCUGUCGUGGCACGAUGAUCCUUGACAGAGGCGUGUUUGUUUGAGGAACUGCGUUUCACAUGUCCUAAUUUGUUACGCCAAUCAGGUUCAUGACAGCAACGCCGUUUGGUUGGAAAAUAAGUUAUUAAAAAUAAUAUUAUAAUUUUGAAAUAAGUUAAUUUGUAAUUUUAUUUUAAUUAAAUAUAAAAUAAAUUUAUUCUAAAAUUAAAUUUGGUAUCUCUAAAUGAGAAGGGUUAUUUACUAGCUGGUUAGAGUUAUUUAGAUAUUUUGAAUGUAAAAAUUAGUUACGAAAAAAGUUAUGUAUUAUUACGAUUUAGUUAUUUAUGUAUUAGUUAUUUCAUCUUUUAUAUAUAAAACAAUAUAUAAAUGUGGAUUCUAAAUUACAAAUUAAAUAUCAUAUUGAUUUUAUACGUGAAUAACUAACUUACCUUCCAACCAUCUAUCAAAUAUGAUAUUAAUUACUAUCCUCGUCCACUUUUAAUUGUCAUGAUUUUGUUUUUUAGAUUCAAACUAUAAGAACUUUGACAAACAUUUUAUGAUAUAUUUUUUCAUCAUAUUGAUAUGUAAAAACUUGCAAUUUAUAGUAUUUUUUGAAUAGUUUUUGAAAUCUAAAUUUGUUUAACAUAUCGAAUUAUUGUAAUCUAAUUUAACUUUGAUAAUUAGUUAAAUUGACUUUUGAAAAGUGCAACAGGACAAUUAAAAAUGGAGAGAGUAUAUAGGAUUAGUACUUGUAUAACCUAUUUUCAUUCUCCAAAUCAGCUUCCAAAUGACUCUUAAUUAUUUAUUCUGAAUUGUCAUUGAAUCAAGACUCCAUAGCUUCAUUAAAAUUAAUAAACUUCGCUAGUUUUAUAAUUAAAUUAUUGAGUACAUUAAAAAACUCUUAAUUAAAUGUAUGAUAAAAUAUUUGAGAUAAUUAUGUCUAUGAGAUGAAGAAUGUUAUAAAAAUGACUCUACCUGACCAUUUUUAAUACUUCUUUUGUUCAUUUUUAAUUGUCAUGUUUCGAUUUUUGAAAGUCAAUUUGACUAAUUUUUAAUGUUAAAUUAGAUUACAUUAAUUUGAUAUUUUAAACAAAAAAAUUUAGAUAUUCAAAAACUAUACGAAAAGUACUAUAAAUUGCAAUUUUUUUGCAUGUCAAUAUGAUGAAAACAUACAUUAUUCAAAGUUCUUAUAGUUUAACUUUAAAAAAUAAUCAUAAAAAUUAAAAGUGGACGGAAUUAGUAAUUAAUUAAGCACAUCAUUUCACAUAUCUUAAUUAAUUCUAUGACCUAUUGUCCACUAGCAAUAAAUAUUAGUAGUAAAUUAUAUAUGGUAAAGUUAAGAUAUAUGAUAUCAUCUAGUAUUUUUAUCUCUGUUAUUAUUUAAACAUGAUAUCUUAUAUUCUUAGUUCACUUCAUUGAUCAGUAAAUGACACUUGGAUGCAGAGCUUAUCAUUUUUAUUAAAAGAAAAUUUCUUUUAUUUUCUAAUAUAUAUUUUUGACUUGUUUUCAUGUUCUUUUUUUUGUUCUAAUUUAAUUUUAAAAUCUUCACUCUUUGCAUCAUCCAUUUGCAUUCUAAAAUUGAAACCAGCAUUAUCUAUAAAGAGUACAUAAUAAUAAUAAUAAUAAUAAUAACAACAACAACAAUAAUAUAUAUAUAUAUAUAUUUAUUUUUUUUAAAACGGUUCGGUUCGACUCUUCUUAACAUAACCAAAAUCAAACCAAAUAUUCUAAAUUUUUUAAAAUCUAAAACCAAACCAAAUCAAACCCAAAUAAAAUUGAUUUACUUAAUCAGUUUUAAUCUAAACAAUGACCACCCCUAGUUAUUAUUAUUAUUAUUAUUAUUAUUAUAAUAAGAGUACUAACAUUGGUAAAGGAAAAUGCUCAAAACUCCACUAUUGAUGUUCUUCAUAAAUCGCAUUCAAUGAAUGAGUUUUAUGCCUUAUCCGGAUGCAACUAUUUUCUCUCUUCUUUUCUCUUCCUUCUGCUGCUAAAAUGUGAAAUAAAAAUAUGUACUUAUAAUAUUUCACAAUUUUGUUAUUUAGAGCUUAUAUAUACUUUACCGUGAAAAUAAUUUUAAUUUUUUAAUUAAAAAAUAAUAAUUCAUAUUAGGGUAUAUUGAUCCUUCUCACACGUUUUUUUCUUCUUUUGACUAUUUUUAUUCAUCGACUAAUUUGAAUUUAUAAUUUUAAUGGUAAAAUUUAUUUCUUCCACUUAUUUUCUUGUAAAAUUUAUUAUAGAUGCCCCAAAUAUUUUUUUUAUAUGGAUAUCAAAACUAAAUUACAAUAUAGCCCCAAAAAAAUAAUUAUUAUUUUUUUCAAACUUUUAAUCUUUUUCCAUUCACACUUUUUUAUAUCUCUUCCACUAAACAAUGAAAGAAAAAAUAAAAUAAAAACAAAAAACUCAAACAAUAAAUAGCAAAGAAGUUAGAAAAUAAUUUGUGUGAAAAAGAUCAAAUACAUAUAUUUUUUAAAAUAAUUUUAAAAAAAUCACUUUUAUAACGGGAGGGAUAUAUUAUGUGAGCAACAUUUGUAAUGAUAAUGGUAUAUGUGAGUCAUUUUUUUGUAACAGUAAGGAUAUAUUGAGCCACUUUUGUAACGAGGGUUAUAUCAACUCUAAAAGUUGAGGAGAUAUCAUACUCUUGUUGCUAAUAUCAAUAUGCCACACUCAAACUCAUAUAUAUAUAUUUGUCAGUUCGGUUUGAUUGUUUCUUCGAUUAUCUAAACAAAAUCAGACUCAAACCAAAUACUAUUUAUUUUUAAACAUCUAAAAUCAAACCAAAUAAAACACAAAUAAAAUCAAUUUAUUUAAUCGAUUUGGUUCAAUUUUUCAAUUUGAAUCAAUUUUUCAUCUAAAACGUGACAACCCCUUAUUAUUAUUAUUAUUAUUAUUAUUAUUAUUAUUAUUAUUAUUAUUAUUAUUAUUAUUAUUAUUAUUAUUAUUAUUAUUAUUAUUAUUAUUAUUAUUAUUAUUAUUAUAAGAGUAUUAAUAUUGGUAAAGGAGAAGGUGCAAAAUUCCACUACUGAUGUUCUUCAUAAAUCGCUUUCCAUGAAUGCUUUUUAUGCCUUAUUCGGAUGCAAUUGUUUUCUCUCUCUUCUUUUCUCUUCCUUCCGCAGUUAAAAUGUGAAAUAAAAAUAUUUACUUAUAAUAUUUCGUAAUUUUGUUAUUUAGGGCUUAUAUAUACUUUACAGUGAAUUUUUUUUUUUUUUUUUUUUUUUUUUUAUAAAAAAGAUAAUUCAUAUUAAGGUAUAUUUUUCGGUUUUUAUCUAAGCAGUGACCACCCCUAGUAAUUAUUAUAAUAAGAGUAUUAAUAUUGGUAAAGAAAAUAGUGACCACCAAGAAUUGUCACCGACACUCAUACACAUAACACCAAUAAGAUAAAUGUUCUAGUCUUGAACGAUUUUGCUUUCAUAAAUACAUUAUAAAUAAGUUUUAAUAAAAACACAUAUAAGAUAUUUAAAAUUAAUUAUAAAUAAGUUUUAAUAAAAACUAGAUUACAAUAAAAUAAUAAUAAAAAUCUAAUAUAGGUAACGGAGAAGGUGCAAAACACAUGUAUUGAUGUUCUUCAUAAAUCGCAUUCCACGAAUGCGUUUUAUGUCUUAUUCGUAUGCAACUGUUUUCUCUCUCUUCUUUCCUCGUCCUUUUGCGGCUAAAAUGUCAAAUAAAAAUAUUCACGUAUAAUAUUUCACAAUUUUUUUAUUUAGAGCUUAUAUAUACUUUACCGUGAAAGAAAUAAUUUUUAAUUUUUUUAUUAAAAAUGAGAUAAUUCAUAUUAAGCUAUAUUGAUCCUUCUCACACAUUUUUUUUCUUUUGACUAUUUUUAUUCAUCGACUAAUUUGAAUUCAUUAUUUUGAUAGUCAAAUUUAUUUCUUUCACUUAUUUUCUCGUAAAAUUUAUUAUAAAUGCUCUAAAUAUUUUUUGCUUUAAUAAAUAAAGACAAAAUGGUUUAAUAGACUCUUAUACUUGUAUGAGUUUGUAUUCUGAACCCUCUUACUUUAUACUUUAUCAACUGGACCCUUAAACUUAUUAAAAUGCAAUAUUCGAAACCCGCUGACCAUUGACCAAACCUAUGUGACAUAAAUAUUGCUGAGUUGGAAAAAUGUGUAAAUGCACUCGCUUCCAAACGCGUCAAUACACUAUUUCCUAUUUUAAAACAUUAAUUUUUUUUGGAAAAUAAUAUUUUUUUAAUUAAAAAAAAAUAUUUCUUCAUUAACCCUCUCCCACCCCACCCCCACACCAAUUUCUUUUCUUCUCCACCACUCUUCCCACCAAUAACCUUAAACUUUCUUCUCUUCUUCUUCAACAAAAUAACCCACCACAUCCAUUUUAUUUUUUUUCCAAAUCACCCGUCAUAUACUUUUUUUUCUUCUUCUUCUUCAACCCACUCUCCUCUUUGCAACAAAUCAAACCCCGCUCCUAAUUUUUUUUCCCCAGCCCCCUUUAUCUAAUUAUUUAGUGUUUUUUAUUUUAAAAGUUGAAAUCAUUAUUUGUGUUGAAUUUAAAGAAAAGGUAUGAUAUCAAUUAACGUAAAGAGUGAUGGUGGGUAUUGAAAAAGUUGAAAACUCCAUUGAUAAGUUUGAAAAAACUUGAAGAACAACAAAUGGGUCUUAUGAAUUUGUAAAAUUAAUUCAAAUUUAUGAUUGUGGCUAGUAGGAUUUGUGUUUAUGAACUUCUAGUUGAAAUUUCAAGUCAAAUAAAGAAAAAAUUUCAUCUAUUUGACAUGAAUUUGGUGCUCAAAUUGUGAGCAUAUAUGGAGGUUGAAGAACAUGGCUAUUUAAAAAUUUCCAAAAGUUAAAUAUUUGUUUUUUCUAUUUUUUUAAUAUUUAAUUUCUCAUGUGUCAUUGAAAAAUGACGUGGAAUUACACAUGUAAGAGGUUGGAUUACACACACAGUGAUCUGAUGAGAUUAGGUUUAAAAUGUUGUGUUUUAAUGUGUUUAAGAGUCUAGUUGACAAAGUGUUUAGUAGAAGGGUUCAGAAUAUAAACGUAUACAAGUAUAAUGGUCUAUCAGACCAUUUCGCCAUGAAUAAAUUAUAAAUAAGUUUUAAUGAAAACACAUAUAAGAUAUUUAAAAUUGUUUAUAAAAAUAAUAUAUUAUGUAUGUAUGUACAUUUAUUUAUAUAUAUAUAUAUAUAUAUAUAUAUAUAUAUGUAUAUACUAGACACAAGUGCUCGUGCUGGCACGGACCCAAUAUCUGCUCUUUUUUGCCUCACUUUAUGUGAUAUAGAUAAAAAUUAAAGAGUCAACAAAUAUGAUUUUUAAAUAUUUUAAGUUGUUAAUUAUUGUAAUUUAUAGCACUUUUUGCGUAAUUUUAAAAUAACAUAGAUUACUUUCCUUGUCCCAAUAUAUAUGUAGCACGUAUUAGAAUUUCAAGAGUCAAUAUGUUGUUAAUUAUUGAGAUUUACAAUACUUUUUACGUAGUUUCCAAAUUAAAUAAUACAUGCUACUUCUUUUGUCCAUUUUAUGUGACACGAAUAGAUUAAUUUUAUGAAUCAAUCGAUUUUUUUAUAAGCAAUCAAAUUUUUUAUAUGUUUUUGCAAAAAUAUUUUAAGCUGUCAAUUAGAAUGAUUUGUAGUAUUUUUUUAUGUAAUUUUUAAAUAUAUAGAAUUUAAAAAUAAGAUAAACAAAUUAAAACGGAGAAAAAAAUAGGCAAAUGUAUAUGUAAGUGUGGAACCACACAGGUGAUACAAACAGAGGCAUAUCUAAGGGAGGGUCACCGGGUUCACGUGAACCCAUGGCCCCCUCCCGAAAUCAUAUAUAAUAGUGUUAUAUUUUAAAAAAAUAUUGAAAUAUAGAUAUGUGAACCCACACUUGAAGUAUCACAUAAUGCGAUUAUGACUGGGUGCAUCUCUCUCCGCGAGGUUAGAAAUUUGAAUUUUAUAUUUAUCUUAUUUUAUUUUCUUUCUAAAAUUAGAUAACACUUCUCUAAGUGGUAAUUGCUAUAUAUAUAUAUGAAUUAAUUUUAGACCUAUAAUUUUAAAAUUUUAACGGUUUGCAGUAGUAAAAACUUAAAUGUCGAACCGAUCAAAUUUAUAUCAUAAAUCAACAUUUUUAUAACAGUGCAUCCACCAUCUCAAAAUUCUGGAUACGCCUCUGAAUACAAACAUGUUUACCGUCACAUGUGUGGUUAUCCACCCUUAUAUAUAAGUAGUAUAUAUAUAAUAUUAUGAGACUGCUUUAGUUAUGUCAUUUUUUUCUUACAUAUUAUAUAAGAGAGAAUUUGAGGCAAAAGCAGACAGGUCCUGUCGACAUGCCUACUUAGAUAAGGGCACUUUCGAAAAAAAAAUCUAUUUAUUUAUUCUAUUUCAAUUUAAUUAGUUUAUAUAUUUUUUUAAAUCAUGGGAUCCGUUUUAAUUACGCCUUUUGAUUUUAAAUUCAUAUUUUUAAAAUUUUUUCUUCAAGAAAUUAAUAGAUUUUUAUUAAUUAUCGGAUCGACAUUACAAAUUAAGGAAUAAUUAUAUCAGAUUUGUCUCUAUCUUAAUUCACAACCUCAUCUACCUAAGACUCUAACAAUAUCUAGCGAAACUCUAAAAAGCAAGCUACAAAUUACAUAUAUGAUAAUACAACCUUAUAUUAUCUCUAACUCUAAUAAUAGAUUAGUUUGCAGUGUGUGGUAGAGCUCCUUCAUGCUCCUAGCCUUCUGUUGGAAUACUAUUUCAUUUCUCUCAAUCCAUAUAAUAUAGACAAUUAUAGCUAAUUUUGCCUUCAACAAGCAUCUCUUUAGUUUAGUUUGUCUUUGGUUCGUAACUUUUCUUGUAAUGUCAGUCACACUACAUACACAUGUUUAGAUUCAGAUAUAUUAUAACAUGGUAGGUUUCUUCACACUACAUAAAUAUAUAUUAUAAUUUAUUUUAAAAUAAAAAUUUACUCAAAAUUUAUUAAUAUUAACAACACCUAUCAAUUAUUUAUUUUAUACUUAAUGAAAUAAUUUAAUAUCAUUUAAUUAACACCACUAAAAAAUAAAUUUGUGAAUAAAUAUUGAACGCAUGCACAACACUAUAAAUUUGCUUGAUGUUUUUUAAGCAUAUUUAAAAUUAUGUUAAUAUUAUAUUAAUAUUUAAUUUUUUUAAUUUGUCUAGACUUUAUAUUUACUUAAGAAUUUAAUUUUAAUUUUUCUUUUUUACUAUGAAGUGUAUUUCUUCCGAGUUUUUAUUACUUAAAAAUUAGUUACAGAAGGGCGCGAAUGACCCAAAAAAGUUAAGUGGCUAUUUAAGUCUUUUCCUCUCUCUAAAACCCCCAAUUUCUUCUUCUUCUUAAACCCCGAAAAAAUCGAAGUAAAGCUUUAACCUCCAAACAAAGCCCAUCAAUGGAUAUUGAAGAAGAUGCAUCAAUGGCCCGAAAAUCCCGUCCCAGGAAACGUAAUAAUCCCGAAGACGAUUAUGAUUGUGGGAUUAGCCCAUCCGCUGAAGCUAGAAGGAUAAACUCAGUCAUAUUAGCAAAUACUAAACCAAGUUUUUGUCUAAAACGGGGAAUCGGGAGUUUACACAAAGAUCGUCGGAGUUUACAGUCUGAACAUCGGGGAAGACUUCGACAUAUGCUGAAAAAAUUGAUGCGGCAACAUAAAUAUGCUGAGGCUAGUGGUGUAUUGAGUGUUCUUCUCAAAGGAACAACAAAAGAAGCAGCCGUAUUCAAAACUCGCACAAAGUUUAUGGUACUAAUCUAUUCAAUUUAAUCUAAUUACUUUAUUUUAUUUUUGUACUUCGUGUUUCUAGCUUAAUUUGAUCACUCAAAUUUCACCUCAAUUGGCAAAUUGCACAUCUAGAGAGCUCACUUUGGUUUCAGCUAGCAACUAAACACUCCAAUUUGUCUCUAUUGUGUCUCAUGGACACACUAACCUGAUGUGUAACAUAAAUUCUGGUAGUGCGUAGAUGAUCAUGUUGUUAGCUGGAGUGUUCAUAAUGACACCGAGUAGACGAGUUAAGGUGUCUAGAUGUGGCUACUCAAAAUUGGAUUGUUUACUUGGCAGUUGUGCCCAAAUUUGAGAGUCUGUUUAUGUAUUAUGGCUUGUUUUUCUAAAAAAGUUUUAUCCAACAAGAAUAGUCAUUUUUGACAUGAUUUCUAACAUUUUAGGCAGCUUUGGAGCUCAUUGAGCAUAUAAAAGGUGACACUAUCAGUUCAAUGAGGAUACGAAAUAUUUAUGAACUUUGGAUGAAGAAGCUUGGACCUAUGAAAAACUGGCCCCUGAAGGUAACAAUUUAAAAAUAUAUAAAGUAUUUGCUUAUAUGUUUGUUCAUUAGUUAUGUAUAUCUCCAAGUUGCUCUUUUCAAGUUUUCUGUAACAUUUACUAUUUUCCUGCAAAGUACCUUUUAUAUGCAAUAUAUUACUAGUAAAUUUACGUCUUCAUUAGCCCAAAAGAAGUUCUAAAGAACAAGAUCUUCUUUUCGUGGAAAUACUAAGGGGUUGUUUGGGGUGAGGGAUAAUACCAAAUAGUCCUGAGAUUAAAUUAUAGUGCCACUUAGUUUGUUGUUUGGUUGGCAAGUUCGGGAUAACUUAUCCGAUGGGGAUAAGUUAUCCCUCCCUUGGGUGGUAUAGUAAUCCUGGGAUAACUUAUCCCGGGAUAAAAUAAGAAAUGACAAAAAUGUCUCUCUAAACCUUUUUUAUACAUCACCUUUUACAUUCAUGAAGGGCAUUUUUGUAAACAAAUAAAUUGUUCCAAACACUCAAUAAAAAAUAAUCUUAUCAUAGCUUAUCCCAUCAUAACUAAUCUCAUCAUAAUUUAUCCCAUCAUAACUAAUCCCAUCAUAACUUGAAUUCAAACCAAACGAGUCCUAAGUUUAUUGACUAUUGUUGUUGUUGUUCAUUAGCUUCUUUUUUUUUUGAUAAUGUGUUAUUCAUUAGCUUUGUACUUCUCCAUGGUGCCUUUUUUCAAGUGUUCCCUAUAACAUUUACUAUUUCCUUGUCAGGUACCUUUUAUAUGCAAUGUAUUAGUAUAUUUACUUUCAGUAACCCAUAAAUAGUUCUAAAGAACAAAAUUUCCUUUUCCUUGAGAUGCUAAGAUUAUUGACUUAUUAUUUUUGUUGUUAGAUCGCAACAUCAAACAGAAAGUUUGAUUUUUCUACAUAUUUUAGGAAUAUGUAGUUCAAGGCGGUUAAAAUACUAGUGACAUAAAUAUAUGGCCUCCGUAACAACAUUUGAUGAAGAUGCGAGACAUUGUAUAGUUAAGAAAGCCUUAGAGCUUUACCUCAUCAAAAAAAAAAACCUUGGAGCUUUUCAGGACGCUGAGGGAAAAAUUGCCAUUGAUUAUCAUGUUUAUAAAUGGAUUUAUGUCUUUGUAUUAUGUAGUGUAACUAAGUAAGUCACAAGGUUCUACUGAUAAUGAAGUUUGAGAUUGAAUUUGUAUAUCUGAUGUUAUUUGAACCGCAAUUUUGAGGAGUUGGAUUAAUUGUCACAAAUUUGAUGCUAAAGUUAGUAUUCAUUGAUGUUUGGUACUCACUUUUAAAAACAUUGCGUUUGUAAGUGAUAGUGGUAAAUUGGUGAUGUCAGCAUGAUUUUGUGUUCCAAACUUUAUGAAAGAGAUAAUCGGUUUCACCUUUGUGGUAGCUCAUUGUGAAGUUUGAAUUGUGGCAGGACCGUUUUGCUGUUCAUUUGGAAAACAUCCUUUUCUGUCUCAAACGCGGGAACACACAGGAUGCACAUCAGGGUGCCUUAUCGUAAGUUCUUGGCAUUUAAUAAUUAAUGAUUUAUCUUUCUCAUGUAGGUUGGCGGAAAUCAAUUGCCAAUUAAUGGAAGAAAGUUUUAUUUACUUUUUGCGAAAAGAACUGAAGUUAUAAAAAAGGGUCCAGAGCGGUAAUCUUUUUUAUUGUGCUAAGUCCGACACUUUCUAAUGGUGUCAAUAUUGUUAACUAAAGUAUUGUACUGUUACCUGCAAAGUAAAGUGACAUUUUCUUGGAGAGAGACUCCUAAUUAACAAUCAGAAUAAUAAAUCUGUUUGCAACUUUGUUUAAGAAGCUGCAACACUAUUUGCUUAUUGGUGUGAUUUUCGUAAACUAGAUCAUUACAGUAGUGUGGUUAGCACUGCAAAGGAGCUGGAUCUUUUAAUAUUUUGUGGUGCUUAAUGUCAUCAAAAGAGUAAGAGAAUAAUCCUGCCUGUACUCCACCCCCAGUUGUCACAGUUUAUUGAAAAAUAAGAACUCACCUUCUCAUAAAGAGUAGAAUAGUGGAGAACAAGGGUGACACAUGGACAGGCCAGAAUAAUCCAAUUAGUAGACGUAUGUACUAUGUCGCAUGAAAUAAGAUGACUGUUUAUGCGUUCAGGGUGCAUCAAACUUGUUCCAGAUUUUAGGAUGACACCAAUUAUCAUAAUCGUAUAAACUAAAUGGUUUCUAUAGAGUGGUGGCUAAACCGACCUUGUUGUAGGGGGUAGAGUGUUAGCCAGUCAAGAACGUCCACGUUCAAAGAUGAAUGUAGUAGAGAUGAUGAUGCUCAGAUGGAUGUGUGGACCACUAGGAGAGAUAUGAUUAGGAACAAAGUUAUAGGGGGCAAGGUGGAAGUGGUCGUUGCCCCCGUGGCAGACAGUUGUGGGAGGCAAGACUAAGAUGGUUUGGGCAUGUGAAGAGGAAGUGUGUGGAUGUGCCAGUGAGAAUGUGUGAGAGGUUGGUGGUAACAUGAGUCAAGGUAGGAAGAGGUUGCGGUAACAGGAGUCGAGAGAGGUAGAGGUAGGCCGAAGAGAAACCUGAGGGAGGUGAUUAUACAGGAGCACAACUACAGCUUACUGAGGAUAUGAUCCUAGAUAGGAAGGUGGGGAGGUUGGGGAUUGGGUUAGUAGGUAGCCGAGUGUUACCAAACGUUGUUUCUUUUUCUUCUAUAACAUCAACAACGACAAUAUACCUAGUGUAAUCCCACAAGUGGUUGGGGAGAGUAAGAUGUACGCAUACCUUACCUCACCACAUCCUAUCCUCUCCAAACUGCACUUUGGCAUUACACUAUGUAUGUUGUUGUUGUUGUAUAUAAACUAGAUGGUGUUUCUUUGGGGGCUGGGGUUGAUAAUUGCUACUCUUGGAAUUAGUAAACUGAAUUUUAACCGUAGAUACAAGGUAGAGGUAAAGUUUGCUUACAUCCUACCCUCCCCAAUUCCCAUUUGUGGGAUUACUCUGGGUAUGUUGUUGUUGUUACUGCGUAUAAGCUAGAUGGUGUUUCUUCAGGGACGGUGGUUGAUAAUUGCUACUCUUGAAAUUUGGAAAAUUAUACUUGUUUGAUUUUUGAAAAUGGUUGGCCUGACAAGUGUGGUUUGGAUUGCCUAGCCAUUACACUUCGGAAGAUACAACCUACGCUUGUUAUAUAUUUCAUCUGGAUUUAGAUGAAUCAGAAAUUUGCCUUUGCGAAACUUGGUGGAUAUGUUAAUCUUAAAUGUGUCCAUGACAGGCUGAUCAGGCAAAAUUGAGAAAUAUCACGUUCUUCUUUUUAUCCGAAUGUCCAACUUUAAACCAAGUAAAUAUGAGUUGCAUAAUGAUAAUCCUCUCUGUGCUGUUAUCAAUGUUUAGUAUAAAAAUUUAUUGGACAAAAUUGUAGGCAAUGAUAAUCAGUCAAAUUUUGGUGGCAAAACUGGCUAUGCAAAAUCUUCUCUUUUAGGAUGAAUGCUCUAUUGGAAUGUAAUUCUAGUAUAACAUUUUUAUGUAACAACAACACACCCAGUGAAAACACACAUGUGGGGUCUGGGGUAGCAUUUUUGUAUAUGAAAUUCCAAAGGCUUAAUGUUACCUCCCCUGGCUGUGAUUUGUAUCAGGCUCAUGCAGCAACGUGGUUUUGGUAGUGAUCCAGUCUCUAAUUUAGUUGUGGGCUUAGCCUUUUAUCAGUUAUGGUAUUCUACUAUCCCAAAGGAGUUGCAGUUGCAAGAGUUGGACAGAUUUGAUAGCACGGUGCAGUCAGAGACCUUUGAGGACAGAAUAUUUAUGUCCAUUUUAAAUUCAGAGGGGCAUGAUGCUGUUGAAGGCCAAGAGACUAAUUCUCCAUUCCAUUGUGAUUCAAACACCUCUAUUAGGAACGAUAAAGAGAUCUUGGGAGUUGAUGUCAGUCAACAGAGAGAAGUCGCCAUGGUCAAUGAUGAUAAUGUGCUGGGAGAAACACAAAAUGACAAUUUUCAGCCACAAGACUUUUACUUGAAUUCUGCUGAAAGAAGUGAUCAUGAAGGUUCUUCUAUGGAUCAGAGUGGUGAUGUUCCCUAUCAUUCCAUAUUCUGCAAUCGUGGUGAGUGUUACUCAUGGCUUAAAGAUUUGUCUAUGUUGCUGUAUAGUCAAAAAUGAAUUCAAAAGAGUAGCAAAUUUUGCUUUUACUUGCAGAAAACCCUAGAGCCUGGUUUAUGGCAAUUGGAUUUGGACUUGAGGUACAAUAAGUAGUAUGGGCUGAAAAAACAAGUUCACUUCUCUUUUUCCUUCUCUCUUAUGAGAAGGGGUCAGACGAGACCCUUUAUCUCCUUGUCUUAAUUGAAGUUGGGGCUAUUGGUGACUGAAUAUUGUUGAUUUCAAGAAUGAACAUGUUCAUAUAUCAUUUGAAUAAUUACCUUUAGUUUGUACUGGUCAUUCUAUAAUAUGAAUUUAGCCUCUAAUUUUGCUUUGGGUUUAGGUAAGUUACAAGUAUUAGCAUAGGGUAUACUUUAGCCAAAAAAAAAAGUUACAUAUAAUUGCAUAGGCAUGUAGUUAUAGCACGUAUUGUCUGGGACUUCUUUGUUCAAUUUAAAAUGAAUGGCACUAGCAUUCUUCCAAGAACUCUCCAGGGCAAAGUCUGGAGCCAUAGACAUUUGGAACCCAAUAUUGGAGAAAUGUGAAAAGAAACUAGCCAGAUGGAGAUCACAGUACCUCUCCUUGGGAGGUAGAUUAACUCUGAUAAACUCUGUUCUGGAUGCUCUCCCUACAUAUAUGCUAUCUAUCUUCCAUAUUCCCCAAUCAGUAGUUCAGAGUUUGGACAAAAUUAGAAGAAACUUCUUGUGGCAAGGAAAUAAGGAAAGAAAAGGCUUUCACUUAGUCAAGUGGAAGAACAUCAUCAGAAGUAAGACGCAAGGUGGAUUAGGUAUCAAGAAUCUCAAAAACCAUAGCAAAGCUCUGAAGGUGAAAUGGUUAUGGAGGUACCAUCAGGAGGACCAAGCACUAUGGUAUAGGGUGAUCAACAACAAGUAUGAGGAGCUAAAUAAAUGGGUAACCAAAGAGGUAAAUACCCCCCAUGGGAUUAGCCUUUGGAAAUCCAUCAGAAUAUUUUGGCCUUUUCUCAGUAAUCAGUCUACUGUCAAGGUACAAAAUGGAAGAAAAACUAGUUUUUGGUUUGAUAAAUGGUCGGAUGGUAUGAGCCUCAAAGAUCGUUUUCCUGACAUCUUUACAUUGGUUCAACACCAACAGAAGACUGUCGCUGAAAUGUGGACACAACAAGGCUGGGAUCUGAUCCUCAGAAGAAAUCUGAAUGACUGGGAAAUUCCCAGAAUACUUGAAUUGUUUAAGGUUCUGGAGAAUUUUCAAGGUAUACAAACAGGCGAGGAUUAUUUAUGGUGGCAAGGGCACAACAAAGGUAGUUACAAGGUGAAAGAAGGAUACAAACAGAUAAGUACUGGUGGCAUUCAAGACUUCAAAUGGCCUUGGAAGCAAAUCUGGAGGAACAAAGUGCCAUGAUAAGUACUGGUGGCAUUCAAGACUUCAAAUGGCCUUGGAAGCAAAUCUGGAGGAACAAAGUGCCAUGAUAAGUACUGGUGGCAUUCAAGACUUCAAAUGGCCUUGGAAGCAAAUCUGGAGGAACAAAGUGCCAUGAUAAGUACUGGUGGCAUUCAAGACUUCAAAUGGCCUUGGAAGCAAAUCUGGAGGAACAAAGUGCCAUGAUAAGUACUGGUGGCAUUCAAGACUUCAAAUGGCCUUGGAAGCAAAUCUGGAGGAACAAAGUGCCACACAAAGUGGCAUGCUUUACAUGGCUACUAGCCAAUAAAGCAGUUUUGACGUUGGAUAAUGUGGCCAAGAGAGGAAUCUCUCUAUGUAACAGAUGUUCCUUAUGUGGUAAGGCUAAUGAGACAGUGAGACAUCUCUUCUUACAUUGCAACUUUACUGAGCAGCUGUGGCAGAUUUUCCUUAAUCUCAGAGGCAUAUCUUGGUGUAUGCCUAGCAAGAUUGAUGAGACUCUAUUCAGUUGGGAGAUGGCUGGAGUUGGGGCUACAAACAGAGAAAGAUGGAGGAUGAUCCCUGCUAGUAUUUGGUGGACUAUAUGGAGGGAGAGAAACGAGAGAUGUUUUGAGAAUAGGAAC
rnacentral:lncRNA from 1 species